rnacentral:lncRNA from 1 species
AGAACUUCAAGAGCUUCGGCUGUCAUUCUUAACACAUUCGACUCCUUCGAACAAGAUGUUUUGGAUGCUCUCUCCCCAAUGUUUCCUCCAAUUUACACUGUCGGUCCUCUUCAAUUGCUUGUUGAUCAGAUUCCAAAUGGUGAUCUGAAAAAUAUUGGCUCCAAUCUUUGGAAAGAACAGCCAGAGUGUAUUGAAUGGCUUGAUUCCAAAGAACCAAAAUCUGUGGUGUACGUUAAUUUUGGAAGCAUCACUGUAAUAACACCCCAGCAAAUGAUAGAAUUUGCUUGGGGACUAGCCAACAGCAACCAAACUUUCUUAUGGAUAAUAAGACCUGAUAUUGUUGUAGGUGAAGCCGCAAUGUUGCCACCUGAAUUUUUAUCUGAAACGAAGGAUAGAGGCAUGCUUGUAAGCUGGUGUCCCCAAGAACAAGUGUUGAAGCAUCCUUCCAUAGGAGGGUUUCUAAGUCACAUGGGAUGGAAUUCAACGUUGGACAGUAUCUGUGGUGGCGUGCCAAUGGUUUGUUGGCCAUUUUUCGCUGAGCAACAGACCAACUGUAGGCUUGCCUGUACUGAUCAAUGGGGCAUUGGCAUGGAGAUAGAUAACAAUGUGAAAAGAGAUGAAGUGGAGAAACUUUUGACAAAAUUAAUGGAGGGAGAGAAGGGAAAAGCAAUGAAAAAGAAGGCAAUGGAAUGGAAAAUCAAGGCAGAGGAGGCAGCUUUGGCCGGUAAUGGUUCUCAUCGGAACCUGGAUCAAUUGGUAAAAGCUCUUUCUAACAAAAAAAAAUAAGUUAGAAGCCUGAAUGCAUGGCAAGCAAUUUCAAGUAUCGAGAAUCCUACUAAAUUAGUAUUAUUUUACUUUGGUUGAAGCAAUUUCCUUUGUAUGUUUCUUUUGAUUGGCGAUGUAUCGAGCUAUAUAAUUAAAAAAUUGUAAUUCUUGUGAUAAUAAAUGGACUUUUAUUUAUAUUGUUUCUUUAAAAAAAUUUGCUUUUAAUAUAUUGCAAAAUCAUUUCAAUUAAAAAAUUAAACAAAUAUUAUAUUAAAGAACCAUCCAAAAAUUUUAACUAAUAAAUAAAAUACUAAGAAUGCAAGAAACAUGAUAUAAUAAAAAAUUCCUGCUUCAAGCGUUGACAUUUCUUCAAUAUAAAAUUGUUAAUUGAUUGUGAAUUAUUCUAUACUAACACGCAAAAACAAUUAUUCAAUCCACGUUUUGUUCCUAGCCGUCAAUGCAAAUUUGUCCACUGUAGUUUCAAAUGAAGCUGUGACCAUUUGCUAGCUUUCAUCUUUGUUUGUUAAAAAAUAGUUUUUUUAAAAAAAGAACUUAGAAAAUAAAUUCCUUGAAAAUAAAUUAUUUUUUUUAUAUUUGAUAAUGUUAUAAAAAAUAAGUUCAAAAAAUUUUCUUGUGUUUAGUUAUGUCAUGGAAAAUGAGGUGCAAAAAAACUUAUUAAUAAAUUGUUUUUCAAGUUUAUUAAAAUAAUAUGGAACAAAUCUUACAAAUUAAAAGGUUGAAUGAUAAUGAAAUUGAAAAAAAAAUCUAAUUUCAUAAACUAUCUCAAAUAAAAUAAAUAACAAUUAAAAUAAUGGAGAUUAAAUCUAAAGAUAAAAAAAAUUAAAAGAUGAUGAAAUUAUAAGGAUCAAGUUUGAUAGAUAAGUAACCAGCAAAAUAAUAAGGAUCAAGUUUGAUAGAUAAAAAAUUUCAAUUAAAAAAAAUAAUAAGAGAAAAGCAAAUAACAAUCAUAAAAUUAAAUGAGGACCAAAAUUAAUAUAAAAAUCAAAUUGUAAGGGGUGAAAUUGAAAAAAAAAAGGUUUAAAACAAAAUAUAUAGCAAUUAAAAGUUUGAGGACUAAAUUUUUUAUAAUCAGCAAAUAAUAUGAUAUUUUUAAAAUUUUCACAACUUCUGUAAAGUGUUUUCCACCCAAAAUAAAAGGAAAAUACUUUCCUGAGCCAAUUUUUUCUUUGAUUGAAAAGUGUUUUCCAUUGAUCUAUUUUUCAAAUGACAAACAAAAAGAAAGUUUGAAAAAAAGUUUCCAAGAAACAACUUUCCACCGAACAAAAGAGGCCAUAAUCAUAGUUUUCAUCUUAAUCGCAGUAUUUUGGACCCACACCUACUAAUUAAGAAUAUUGUAAAAUAUAAUAUAAAGAUGAUUAUGAAACAAUUAAAAUUAAUUAAGAAAUCCCACAAAAUCAUUGUAGGAAAUUAUCAAUAUCAAAUAUAUUAUUAUAAUUUAAUUUUGAUUUGUUAUCAUAAUUUCUUUUUAUUAUUAUUACAAAAAAAAAACUAAAUGAGCUCAGUCUUUUACUGUGAUCCUAAACACAAAAAAACUGUAGAUUGAAACAAUAUAAAUAUAAUUUUUUCAUUGCAAAAAAAAAAAAAAACUAAUUAAGCCUUCAAUUGGGAUAGAAGUGCCUUUUUCAUGGGAUACAUUCAUCAUUGAAAAAUUGAUUAGGGACAAAAUAAUCUAAACAUGUUUUUUCGUUACAGUAAAAUGAAUAUUAUGCCAUCAAAAGCAAAAAAAAAAAAAUCUUUAGGUGAAGGGAUUUUUUGUCUUUUUAAAAAAUCAAACAAUAAAGUUACGGGCAUACCCUUGGAAGAGAAAACAAAUAUACAUGCAUAAAAAGGCUUCUCCAUCUUUUUUUUUUUAUUAUUAAAAAAAGAUAAUAAAACAACAGAAUUAACUAGGGGUGAGCAAAAAAACUGAUAAACCGAUUAAACUGAGAAAAUCGGAAAAAAAUAAUCGAAAAAACCGAAUUAACCAAUUAAAAAAUAAAAAAAAAAUUCGGUUCGGUUUGGUUUCUAAAAUCUGAAACCGAUUAAACCGAACCGGUUCAACUAGCCACCACUUAAAAAAAAAAAGGCAAGUAUAAAUACCAUGCUUUCUAACCCUAGAAUAACAUUAACCCAUCAAACUGUCGCCCCCCCUCCCCUCACUUCUCUGCAUCUCUGUCCUUUAACUUUUACUUUCAUUUUCACUUUAAUUACUCCUUGGUUGGCGCCCUCCCCUCCCCUCCCCUCCCUUCUCUACAUCUCUCUCUUUACUCUUUGGUUGGUGAAAAAUCAAAGCAGAACAAGUUGGUCGUCGUUAGCUUUACUGAGACACAGAGUGAUGAAGAAGAUUACUUGGCUAAGUUAACUCACCAAAUGGCUCACUCCGCCCUUGAAGAUGAUUUCAAGAGAAACAAACUCCCUUGCAACACCGAAAAGACUAAGGUAUUGCUUCCUUUAUGUUUCUUUUAAAGUAGGACGAUCUGCUCUGGUUUCUGUGAUCAUGUUUUUUGGGUCUAAUGUUCGUGUCUUGGGUUUUUUGCCUGAUUUGCAAGGUUGGGUUUUGUCUGGAUCGUCUCCAUCAAUGCUAUGUGCAAUUGGAUGCAAGUGCAGUUGUAAACAAGGAUCUAGCCGUGGAAGCCUGAAUGGAGCUUCACCUCUAGCAACUUGGAAGCCUGAAUGGAUCGUUUCUCCCAUUUCCUAGAAAAACGAACCUCAACUUCCAAAAAAACAAUGACAUCCUCCGGUUUGUAAUUUUAUCGAUUUUGGUCCACCUUUUAAUUAUUGUUUAUUUGGUUUUGAUACUUUUUAAAGUUUAGAUUUUUUUCAAUUUCAUCAUUGAACAUUUUAUUCAAUUUGAUUUUUUAUCUGAUUUAGUCCUACUUUAAAUUCUUUAUUUAAGUGCUUUAUACUUUUCUUGAUUUUAUUAUUUUUUUUUUGCAAUUUUUUCCCUUUUGAUUUUAUUGCAUUUGUUUUUUUAAAAUAAUUUUUUGUCCUCAUUUUUUUAAUUGAUAUAUUCUUAUUCUUUUCUUCAUUUAUCUUUUUUUUCAAUUUGUCCAUCAAUAUUUAAUUUCAUUUGGUUAUUUUUAUCCAAUUUUAGUCCUUAUUCUUUCAAUAAUGUUUAUAUAUAUAUAUAUAUAUAUAUAUAUAUAUAUAUAUAUAUAUAUAUAUAUAUAUAUACUUUUCUUAGUUUCUUUUGUUUUCCAAUUAUCCCUUAAUUAUUUUCUUUAAUUUUUUAUGCCAUGUUUCGUCUGCAUUGUUUUGGUUUUAAAUUAUUUUUUGGUUGGAUAUUUUACUUUGUUAUUUUUUCAUGGUUGCCUUUCAACAAUGCAGUUCUUUAUUGAAAAAUUGAGUAUUAUUUUCAAAUUCAUCAUUUGAUAUUUGGUUGUUAAACCCUUAGCUUUAUUGUUUUUUUUUUAUAUUGAAUUAUCACGAUCUCAUAUCCCGAGUAAUAAAUUUGUCAAAUUAACCAUGAUUGCCUUAGAUGUUUUCCCUUGUUUUUUAUGAUUUUUUUUAAUUUCAUCAUUUUGUAUUAAAUAAUUAUUCCUUGAGCUUUGUUAUUUUUAUGCUUCUCUUUUUGUUUUGUUAUCUCGAGAGCAGAUUGGUUAAAAUAACACGACUUAACUUGCAUUUUCAUUUACAAUGUUUUUUUUUAUUUAACUUGGGCCUUUUUUGUUAGGCUCUUUUUUUGGAGGUCUAUUUUUUUAUCCCAAUCUCAUGUCGUGUAUGGUGGGUUAGUCGAGUUAACUUGACUUGAUUCGAACUUUUCCCUAGAUGUUUUUACUUCUUUUUUUCAAUUUCAUCAUUCUGCAUUAAAUUAUUUUUCCUUGAGCUUCGUUAUUUUUUCACUUUUCUUAUUGUUUGAUUAUUCCAAGAGCGGGUUGGUAGAGUUAACCUGGAUUGGCUUAGUGUUUUUUUUUUUUUAAUUUAAUUUUGGUUUUUUUACUAGUUCAUCCUUUUGAAUUUUUUUUUUAUCUCGAUCUCAUAUCAUGAGUUGUUGGUUUGUCAAGUUACCAAGAGUUGACUCCAAUUUUCUACUUUGGCAUCAGUUUUGUUCUCAAUUUCAUGAGAAAGAACUCAAUUUUGUUGUUUGCAAGACAUUGAAAGUGAGGGGACCAAAAUUGAAACAAAGAAAUAAUGGUAGGAUUGUUUUAAAAAAUUGAUGUCAAUUUUGAUCCCUUUUUUUUUUUCAGCCUUUGAUCAUUGAUUUUUUUUUCUUGGGGUUCUUUUAAACGAUCAAAACGAUUCUAAAAUGAUCUGAUUGAUUCUCAAAAUGAUCAGACCAAUUAUAAAACACCGGUUUUUCUAAUGGCUAGAAAACAGUGUCUAUUAGCUGUUUUUUUUUUUCUAAACCUAUAAUAGCUUUUUAUUUUCCCAAAACAAUUGUAUAACUCUCAAGAAAAAAAUCUAAGCAUACUCCCCCUGAAAACCAACCUAUAACACCAUUUUGUAUAUAAUUUUGAGUCUGCUAUUCUGUUUUUCUUGAUUCUGAUAUCCUCUCCUGCUGCUAAAUAGAAAUGUUGAAUACAGUUUACACUUGACUGUACGGGAAUGUCAAAUCUAUAGAAACUUAUACUGCAAUGUUUUUGUAAUGCAACACACGCUUUUCUUAUUCAUUUGCUGUAACAUUUAUACAGGUUUGGGAGCUUGAAUUUUGAAUUCAAAUUUGUGUGUAACUGAAGAAUAUUUACAGUCAAGAUAAUAACAACAUUUCAAACGAAUCCUAUAUUUAUGGAGAGUACAAAAUCUGGCAUAACUUAGGAUAACAGCUGCAUUUGAAUUUGUUGUGAUUUGAUUUAAUCAGAUUCCUUAAUACGCCCCCGCAAGAACGGGCUACCAUCGGAUAGGUCGAUCUUGUUAUGUAAGAAGUCGGUCCGUUGUCUGGAGAGAGGCUUGGUGAGCAGAUCUGCGAGCUGAUCAGUGGUGUGGACAUGUUGAACAUUAAGAAUUUUUUUCGCAACCAAAUCUCUCACAAAGUGAAUAUCAAUCUGUAUGUGUUUCAUCCGGGAGUGCUGUACAGGAUUAAAACUUAGAUGAGUGGCACCCAAAUUAUCACAUAAGAGCAGCGGUGGUUGUGAUAAACAAAAUUUCAGUUCCUGGAGCAGAGAUAGUAGCCAAACACUCUCAGCAACAGCCAUUGCCAAGGCCCUAUAUUCAGCUUCAGUGGAUGAUCUUGCAAUGGCACACUGCUUCUUACAACUCUAGGAAAUUGGUGUGGUGCUAAGGAAUAACAAAUAAGCAGAAGUAGAUUUCCUGUCAUCCAAAUUACCAGCCCAAUCAGCAUCCGAGAAAAAAGUUAAUUGUCUGCUGGAUGUUUUACUAAUAGUAAUUCCAUGGAAGAUUAUAUUUUUCAAAUAUCGCAGCAGCCUCUUCGUUGCUGUCCAAUGAAUCUGCGUGGGAUGAUGCAUGAACUGGGAGAGUUUAUUUACAACAAAACUUAUGUCAGGCCUGGUAAGAGACAAAUAUUGCAAUGCUCCAAUAACUUGACAAUAUUUGGUGGAGUCAAUAGAGGAAGACCCAUCAUUCAAUUGUAAGGGAACCGAUGUUGAGAGUGGCGUGUUGACAUCUCUAGCACCAUCCAUAUUUGUCCUGGCAAGUAAGUCUCUGAUAUAGUUGUGCUGAGUUAGAAACAAGUCGGCUGCAGUGGGAAUAACUUCAACACCAAGAAAAAAAUGUAGUAAUCCCAAGUCUUUGAUAGAAAAUUUCUGACCAAGAUGAUCAACAAGACUUGCAACAAAGACUGAGUUAUUGCCUGUGAUAAUCAAAUUGUCAACAUACACUAGGCAAUAAGCAAGAUUGAAACCAGUAUGAAACACAAACAGUGAUGAAUAUGAUUUAGAGUUAAGAAAUCCAAACUCAGUCAAGGCAUGCUUAAGGGCAGAGAACGAAGCACGGGGUGCUUGUUUUAAGCCAUAAAUGGCCUUAGUGAGGCAAUAAACAUGAUCAGGAUAGUCAGGAUUUCUGAAGCCAGGAGGCUGCUUCAUGUAUACUGUUUCGGUAAGAUGCCCACAAAGAAAUGCAUUAUUAACAUCCAAUUGUCUCAAGGGCCAACCCUGCAUCACAACAAGAGUUAAUACAGUGUGUAUGGUGACCGGUUUAACAACAGGACUGAAUGUUUCCUUGUAAUCGAGUCUGGGUCGUUGAUUGAACCCUUUGGCCACUAAUCUGGCCUUGAACCUAUCAACAGACCCAUCAGCAAGUCGUUUCACCCUAAACACCCAUUUACAGCCCACAAUAUUGCAAUUAGAAGGAGGAGAUACCAAUUGCCAAGUAUUAUGACGCAUUAAAGCAGUUAACUCGGUGGACAUGGCCUCACGCCAUCUAGAAUCGGCAAGAGUAGCAGUAACACUUGAGGGUUCCAGAGAAGAUGGAAGGGGAUGUUUGGUAACAAGUGUCGCACGUGUGCGGCGGCGCGGCGAUCGUCCACUCUCAAGGAAAAAAAACCGAAAUAUUUAUUCCCGACAAAAAAGGGAGAGACAAGGAAUUCUUGUCUCUAUAAGUGAAAAAAUGGACAGGGAGUCGCCACCUAGUAUUCUGGUUACUAGGAACCUUAACUGGUCUUUAGAGAUCGGGUACGGAGACUGGUUGCGUAAAGGGAAGGUAUUAGCACCCCAACUACGCCCUACCUAAGGUAGGCUGCAUUGUUUUAAUGUCUGAUAAAAUCUAAGGUUGUGUUGUGUUUUUUUUUUUUUUUUGAAUUGUUGGUUCGUUUACGGUUUAAGAAAAGUCCUCCUCUGUAAGGAGGUCCUUAUCUUUAUCGGGUUAAAAAACUAACUAUUCGAAGUCGUCAAAAGAAAAUAUUUUUUUAAUAUCAGGAAUACGAUUUACGUAUAAAUUCAUAAUCCCUGAUACUAAAAUCAAACAAAAUAAAAUAUUUUGUUGUUUUUUUGAAAUUUUGGCCAAUGUUCUCUUGACUUUAAUAAACUGGUUAUUAAAGCCAAAAUGCAUGCUAAAAUAUUGUUUUUUGACAUAUGAAAAAUACGAUAUGAUUUUUUAGAUUUGAGACACUUGGCCGUAUGCACAAAAACAUUUUUUUUAUCUUUUUUCAAUUUUUUUUUUAUUUUUGGAAGUUUUUGCUGAAAACCGGGUAUUUUAAUACUGGAUUUAUAUUUUUAUGAUGUAAAAAUACUGCCCGAUAUUAAUAAAAAAUGACAUAAAAACUACCUGGAAAAAUUAUAAAAAUGCUGAAACAAAUAUUUUUGAUUUUUUUUUUUUGCAUGUGUGAACAGUACCGUAUGAAUAGUAAGCACAGUACCAAAACUAAAUGGGCUGGUUACUGUGCAUAAGCACAGUAACCAGCCUCUCAUCAGUUGCAGAACGUGAAUUAAUUCACGUUCUGCAUGAAAAUAGAGAAGGCAGUUGCAAAGGGAGAAGGAGACGGGGCAGAGGUUGUUUACCUGUGGUGGCGUCGUGGCGGUGCUGCUGGCGGCGACGGUGGCGGAGGCGCAGUGGCCGGCGGGUUUUCUUCUCCUUCUUCCUCUGUUUUUUUCUCUUUUCUUCUGUUUCUGUUUUUUUUUUUCUCUUUUCUUCUCUUCUCUCUUCCUUCUCUCUUCCUUCUCCCCUCUGCUCUGUCUCCUUUUUUUUUUUUUUUUUUCUUCUCUUCCUCCCCUGUUUUUAUAGGCGAAAAACAGGGGGGGGGACGUCAUGGUGGUGGCCGGUGUGCUGCCGCCCGUCCAACACGUGGAAAGUGGUCGGCAAGUGGUGUCCUUGUUUCGGCGUCUUUUUGAGCAAAAGAAGGAAAGUAAUUAGGCGAAAAGGGGAAGAAAAAAUCUUCUUCUUCCCCUGCCUCGUGUGUCCAGGGGAAGAAGAAGAGCUACAGUGCCGUCAAAACGGCACCGUUUUGGGCUUCUGUUUUUUUUUUUUUUUUUUUUUUUUGCAACAGUGAAUGAAACGGCGCCGUUUUGGUCAAAACGCGCCGUUUCAUUUAAUAGGAAAAGGCGCCAAAAGCAUCAGAUUCAAAUUUCGGCCCUCCAUUUUCGUGCGUUUUACAAUGUAGUCCUUGGUCUCGGAUUUCUUCAAUUAGUCCCUAAUUGGCCAUAAACUUCAAUUUAUGCAAUUAAGCCCCUGAUUUGACCAAAUUAACUUCCAAAAAUUAUAAUUUGACCCCAGAAAAUUAAUUUCUCCUAAUUAAAGCCCAAAUUAACUCCAAAAUCAAUUUUUCUUGCAAUUAAAAUCUCCAUAAAUUCAAUUAAACCUUCAAUAAAAUUUAAUUGAGUCCAUAAACUUCUGAUUUUGCAUUUUUCUUCCACAAAUUGAAUUUUCUUUAUCAUCGGGGCUCUCAUCAGUUAAUGAUAUACUGUCAAAAAAUAAUUUUUAUAUUUUUGAAAAUCCUCAAACAAUUUUUUUAGCAUGUUUAUGGCGCUCUGGCAUUUUUCACUGUUAUAUUUUUUUUGUAAUAUAUUUUUUUGAAUUUUUUUGUAUUUUAUUAUUUUAUAUGUGGGGACCCAAAAAUGGGUUACAACAACAAGGAAAGAUUUUUUAGGUUUAUAAAUGUCAUUCAUGGACCUAGUAGUCAUUUUAUGAACACGUAUUGCAUCAGAUGAAGGAACAGUAGAAGCAAUUGAAGCAGGUAAGUCAAUGGAAGCAGGGGAAUCGAAAAGCAGUGGAGAAGAUGGAGUACUUACCUGGGGAGGAGACGGGGUAGAGAGCGACCCAUGCUCAGACGAUGUGAAGACUUCAGUACCCACAUUCAAAGAGGUGCUAGGACGAGGCAGAUCAAAGGAUAGCUUUGGUAAGGAGAUUGACACAGAAGAAUUUUGGCCUGCUGAUGAAGAAGAACAGACAUUGGAAUGACUGGUCGGUUGAAAAGGAAAUGUUGUUUCAUGAAAGAUGACAUGUCGGGAAGUGAAUAUUUUGUCGGUAGAGGGUUCAAGACACAGAUAUGCAUUUUGAGAUAAGCUGUAACCAACAAAUGUGCACGGUUUGGAUUUCGGCUCAAGUUUAUGUUUAUUAUAUGGUCGGGUUAAUGGAUAACAAAGGCAGGCAAACUGUUUAAGCUUGAGAUAGUUGGGUUUUUGAUUGAAUAAUUUUUCAAACGGGGAUUUAUGAUUCAAGGUUACAGUGGGCAUGCAAUUGAUAAGGUAGGCAGCAACUUGAAAUGCAUAAGGCCAAUAAGACAGAGGCAUAUGAGCAUCAGUGAGCAAGGUAAGACCGGUUUCAACGAGGUAACGAUGUCGCCUUUCAGAAAUACCAUUUUGUUGAGGGGUGUGGGGAGCAGUAGUGUAGUGACUAAUUCCAUGAACUGAGAGAUAAGUUUUGAGACCAAUAUAUUCCCCACCAUUAUCAGAAUAAAGACUUUUGAUUUUUGUGUUGAAACGAUUUUCCACAAGAUUGCGAAAUUGGGGAAAAAUAGUUUGAACAUUUGAUUUUUGGGUCAUGGGAUAAAGCCAUAUAUAUUUGGUAUAAUGGUCAACAAAAAUAACAUAAUAUUUAAAUCCAUUAAUUCCAAUAUCAUGAGAUGGACCCCAAACAUCUGUGUAAAUUAGUUCAAGUGGAAUAUUGCUAGUAAGACCAUGAGUGUUAAAAGGUUGACGAUGAACUUUGUUUUGAGAACAUGAAGUACACAAAGAGGAAUGGUCAUUUUUAUUGACGGGUAAGGAAAAAGCAUGAAUGAGAUGAUUAACCAAUUUAGAUGAUGGAUGACCAAGACGUUUGUGCCAUCCAUCGGUUGUGGUACGUUCAUGAACAUAGGCAGUAAUAUUUUUCUUGAUAGAGGGUAGGUGCUCCGGAAAUGGGUACACUCCAUCUUCACAUUCGCCUUUGAGUAGAAUCGCCCCCGUGAUCCGAUCCUUCACCAAAAAAUAAGUAGGGUGAAAUUCAAUGAAAACAUUGUUAUGCUUGGUAAAAUGAUGAACAGAGAUAAGAUUUUUAUGGAUGGUUGGAACACAAAGAGUGUCACGUAAAUGAAAGACAUGAUUGGACGUUUUAAGAGACAAUGACCCAGUAUGAGAGACGUGCAAACCUGAUCCAUCCCCAAUUACCACUUCAUCAGUACCGUCAUAUUCUGAAUUAAUUGUCAGAUUGGAGAGAUCAGUAGUCAUAUUAUGAGAUGCGGCUGAGUCCACUAGCCAUUUAUGAUUUUUGCGUUGAGAAGAGGCUGCACAAUUUGCUGAAAAAUCAGAAUAGACAUUUUUGGGCAUUGUUUCGCUGUAUGCCCAAAUUGAUCACACCAUUGACAUUUUGGUUUAAACCUCCUUUGUCCCGAAUUAAAUGACCCAUUUCGGUGAGCACCAUUGUUGCCACGUGGAGGUGGAGAAGCAGCCGGGGGACGCCAUCUGGACUGUUUAGAAUUAAAGGAGGAUUGUGGACGCCAACGAUGAGAGUAAUUAGCAGUUGGAACAAACGAAGUUGCAGAUUGUUGCUCCAACCGCCGAAGGUAACUUUCAUGAUUGACAAGUAAAUCAUGAAGUUCUUCGAAUUUCAGAGACGUCUCACGGGCACGAAUGGGAGCAGCUAUUUCUCUAAACUCAACACCCAAUCCAUUUAGGAUGUAUAGAGUUAAAUCAUCGUCUGAAACAGGAUGGUCGAUGAUUGCUAAUUCAUCAGCAAUAACUUUAAUUCCUUGAAGGAAUUCAGUAACCGAACGAGACCCACGAUUGCUCAAGGUCAGAUCUUCUUUGAGCUGCAUCACACGUGUUCUUGAUUUUCCUGCAUAUAAACGGGUAAGUGCUGUCCAAGCAUCACAAGAUGUUUUGCAGGCAGAUAGAAGAGGGGUAAUGGUGGUAGAGGUGGAGGCAAGGAUGGCAUGUAGAAUGAGCUUGUCUUGGCGAAUCCAGUGGGAAUUUGCCGCUUUGGAUGCAGUAAGAUUGAGUGCAUCAAUGGCAGGGCACUUAUGCUUGCCUGUUACAAACUCAAUGAGAUCGUAGCCAAUGAGCAAGGCUUCGAAUUGAGCUCGCCACUGUGGAAAAGUAGAGGGGAUGAGUUUUUCAUUGAUGGUUGUGGCAGCAUUGAUUGUGACGAUGGGUGAGUGUGUGGAGUCGGUGAUGGGUGUAGUGAUGGUUGCCAUUUGCAGGAAGCAGAAGACGAAGAGUAGCAGAAUGAUCGAAAAAUACUCGUUAGAGAUUUUCAGGCUCUGAUACCAUAUAGAAACUUAUACUGCAAUGUUUUGUAAUGCAACACACACUUUUCUUAUUCAUUUGCUGUAACAUUUAUACAGGUUUGGGAGCUUGAAUUUUGAAUUCAAAUUUGUGUGUAACUGAAGAAUAUUUACAGUCAAGAUAAUAACAACAUAACAACAUUUCAAACGAAUCCUAUAUUUAUGGAGAGCACAAAAUCUGGCAUAACUUAGGAUAACAGCUGCAUUUGAAUUUGCUGUGAUUUGAUUUAAUCAGAUUCCUUAAUAAAAUCACCUGUGAAUUUCUUGUUCGUAUACUUUCAGGAAGGUUUAAUUUCACUAUUGCCUAGGGUAAUAGAUAUCGUGAUAUACCUGUAAUUGCUACUGGGGGUAUUGUCAAUGCGUUGGAUAUGUUGCUGCAUUGGCUCUUGGGGAUGAAGGAAAUAGGACUCAAGUAUCCCUCUAAAGCACUGAUUAUAAGCUCUGGAUUAAGAGCACUUUUGAGAAGAAAUAAUGGUUUAAAAUUAGAAGAGCAUUGCAGAAAAAUAAGAAAAAUGUGAAGAAAGAGUGUCAAAAUCUGUCCAAAAAUACAGAAUUAACCAAACCUAAACAAUUUUCUUCAGCUCCUUUUUAUUAAGAAUUUUAGGAAAUAAAAGUUGAUGAACUUUCCCCACUAACAACUUUGAUUACCCAUAAUAAAUCAGAAUUAAAUAUGAAUUUUUUCUUAUUUAAAUUAAGUGAUUUUUUAACUCAAAAACAUUGAAAGAAUUCUGGAAAAACUAAUCAAAUUCUUCCUUUCAUAGACUAGACAAAUCUAAAAUAAUUCUUCAUACAUCAGACUCAAGUAAAAAUUCUUUUCAACUUCUCAUUUUAUAAAUACCAAGAUUUUUUUUUCUUUUCUAUGUAAGACAAAGUUCUUUUAGAAGUUUUGGGCUUAACCAAAGUAUACCAACUAAGAAUUCCAUGAGACAAAUUUUGCCUAUAAUUUGUUUUAAACAUGUUAAUAUUUUAUGUCAAAGAGUUUUUAUUGGAGAUUAAAUUCCAAUAAAAUUAUAAUUCUAAAAAUAAAUAUACUCUACUUUUAGUUUAUCCUCAAAUAUACCAAUUAAUCAUAUUUUUAACAAAGUUUUCCAACACACAUGCCAUCAACUUUUCUCGCAUUUCUGAAGUGGAAUGUGGAAACAACCUGCAUCCUACCUUUUAAAGGUUGCAAGUUUGGCAGAACCUCUAGAGGUCUCUGAGUUCCACAGGGUCAGAAUCAGCUUGCCUUGCUUAUAAGAGGGAGGCAAUACCCCUUUUCCUGCCAAAAGCUGCCUCACCAAAAGAAUACACAGGUUGAGGGAGAAUGGUUUCAGUCAACUAGCUGAGAAACCUCAUGUUGUUUGCAUUUUGUUCCCAGCUCAGGGUCACAUAACUCCAACGCUAAAUCUAGCAAAACUCCUAAAUUACAAAGACUUCCACAUAACCUUGGAUGGCUUGCCGGAGUACAACCAUAAAAGAUUACUCAAAUCCAGAGGGUCCAACUCCCUGGAUGGCUUGCCGGACUUUCGGUUGAAGCUAUACCUGAUGGCCUUCCUCAGACAGAUUAUUCUGAUGUCACUCAAGACAUCCCUUCUCGAGCUGAUUCCACCUCAAAAAAGUACUUAGUCCCAUUUCGCAAUUUACUUUACAGGCUCAAUAACAGUACUCCCUCUUCCAAAAUCCCUUCAGUGACCUUCAUUGUCACUGAUGGUUCCAUGUCCUUCACUCUUGAAGGUGCUGAAGAAUUUGGAAUUCCAAAAGUACUCUUCUGGACUCCUAGUGCCUGUGGUCUUUUAGGCUAUACACUGUACCAUGCUCUGGUAGAAAGAGGCUUGACACCUCCCAAAGGUGUGAAAAUUAAAAAUCGUUCUUGAACUUCAAAAUUUAGAUAUGGGAAGUACACUAGUUUUCUUUAGAUUUGCAGAUGACAGCUACCUAAUCAAUGGGUACCUCGAAACUAUUAUUGACUGGAUCCCAUGUUUAAACAAUAUUCGUGUGAAGGAUCUUCCAACUUUCAUUCGAACUACAGACCCAAAUGAUAUCAUGGUCAGCUACUUCAUAAGGCAAAUUUAGAGAGCUUCAAGAGCUAAUGGCGUGAUUUUGAACACGUUCUACUCGUUCGAACAAGAUGUUUUGGAUGUUCUCUCCACCAUGUUUCCUCCAAUUUACACUUGUUGGUCCUCUUCAAUUGGUUGCUGAUCAGAUUUCAAAUGGUAAUAUGAAAAAUAAUGGCUCGUUGUAAAGAAUAAAGUGUUAUAAUAAAGAUUUAAUUUAUUUUUAACAUUCAUAUAAUAUUAGAUUAAUUAAUUUAUAGCAGAGAUAAAAUUUAUGGAACAAAAUAUUUUACAAAUGAAAAUUAUAAAAUUGUUAUAAUUAUAAAAUUUAUAUUACAUCAAAGUUUGUUUUUAAAAUGUUUCCGAUUAAUACUCUUUUAAAUACAAGAUAUUCAUUAGAGCCAUGAAGAUUAAUAUAUAUUUUGCCUUUUCAUUUAUGAAAGGAAGUAACAAUUCUUAUAAGUUGAGGUAUAAGGGAUAUCUAGAACUAAUAUGUACGUGUUUGUUAUAAAACAUGUACCCUACAUUGACCUGUAUGAGAAUUCUAUAUAGAGAUACCACUUACAUCUAUGAAAAGGCUCACGUGAUGGUUGUGUAAGUGAUUUUUAGACUUGAGAUCACUAAGUUAUCUUAUAUAAAAAAUAUUAUGAUUUGGUCUUAUUACAUGUUAUCUUAAUCAAUGUAAUCAUAUAAUAAGCAUUGGGUAUAAUAUUAACUAUAUAAAGGUGCUUGAAUAAUAAAAAAAAAGAUUCAUCAUUCUAGAUAAAUUAGAAAAAGAGUUAAAAAUAAAUUUAUUUUGAUUAUUAAAACAAUUUAUAGUUAUUUCAUCAGGUUUUAUUCAAGCCCAUGAUAUCACGUGUAAAUCUAGAUUUUCAACCUUAUCAAUUUUUUUAACUAGAAAUGGUUCAAGUUUUGAUACGGAUACCUGCUGAUUUAGAUUUUAAAACUAUGCUUCCUAAUGCAUAAUUCAAUCACGGAUAGUUAAUUCUUUGACUUUUCUACCUUAAUAAAAAUUAUCAAUAAAAAGAAACGACCUCACUUAAAAGUUAAAAUAUAAAUAAUGAAUUAUGAUUAAUAAUGAUAGUAACAACUUUACAACCCUCCUUUUUUUAUAUAUAAAAAACUUAAAUAAUCAUUAAAUCUAUUUAUUAAAAGAUUAUGGUAUAUAAUUUUUUAUGUGUUUAUGUGUGUAUAUAAUGAAGAUAAGAAUAGACUGAAUUGUUAAAUGUAUUUUAAAAUGUUAUGAUUUUUAGAAGAUUGUUAUCUCGAUUCAAACCUGAAUUGUGGGGCGUUACUCAUGAACGUCAAACAUUUUAAUUUCUUUUGGGGUAAUGUUGAGAAUACUUGAAAGAGUUGGGUUUUUUUAUAUAUAAAAAACAAAAGAAAAAGAAAAAAUAAACUUUGUUAUUAAGUGAUUGACAUGUUCUUCUCAUAAUACUUUUAAAAUAAUAUGAUGUUAUAUCUUUACAAUUCAUUUGAUAUCCACAUUAUUAAAUUUAUAAACGUCAAUUACAUACUGUCAUGUUAUUUAAUUAUUUCUAACAUACCUUUUGUCUUUGUGUGGUAGUCGACGUUCCACGUAUGCAACUACGUUGUUGACUGUGCUACAUUGUGUAUAGAAUCAGUUAUUAUUUUUUCAUAUAAAAAAAUAUUUAAAUGUUGUUAAAUUGUUUUUUAGUGAAUUUUUUUUUAAUAUAUUGAGAUUAACCUGAUCUGACUUGAUCUACUUAGCAAAUCUACAAACAGUCCAAGUAACCAAUAAAAAUAUGAUUUAAUUAAAAAAAAUCAAAAUAAUAUCUUUUUUAAAUAUUAAAAUAACAACAUUAUAGACCAACUUGAGUUACUCUGCCAAAUUCACUACCUAGAUUAUGAGACUCUCGUAACCUUAUAGAAAAAAAUUAAUAAAAAAAAUAUUAAACUCAAUUCUCAAUUAACUUAAUAUAUUGAAUGAUGAAAAUUAAAAAUAAAAUUCAACAAAAAUGAUCCAAAUCAAUUCAGAUUAACCUAUCAAACCAGGGUUAUGAGACCAGGUCAACUCUAUAAAAAACAAAUUGAAAUAAUUUACUAAGCUCAAAUCUUAAAGAACCUAAUGUUGAAGGUGACAAGGAUCAUAAGAUAAAGAUAACCUCAUAAAAUAAACACUAAAACAAAUUAUGAAGUUUAAUCUCUAAUUAACUCAAUAUAAAAGGAUAAAAUUAAAAAACAAAUCAUCUAAAAACGGAUAAAAAACCCUUAGUCAAUAGCUUAACCGGUGACUUGAGUCGUCAGAUCAUAAUAACUCAAUAAAAAACAAAUAAAAAAUAAUAAUUAUAAAGCAUAAUUUUUAAUCAAUCUAAUAUUAAAGGAUUGAAUUGAGAAAAAAAACUAAAAGAUAAAAAAUAUUUUGAGUCAACCUAAGUUAACUUACCAAAACUGAAAUAACUUUAAGAAAAUAAUUAAAAUAAUUAUAAAAUUUAAUUUAUAAUCAAUAAUAAUAUAUAAUGAAGUUGGGAAAAUAAUUAAAAAUAAUUAAAAAAAAUAACAAUUCAACACGGGUAACUAUCAUAAAUUGUUUUUAAAAGGAUUUCGUUGGACAAAUAAUAAAUGCACUGGACACUUAGAUCCUACAAUCGUGGUUGUAUAGAUUUAUUUUUAUGAAUUGGUCAAACCGAGAAUAAUUCAUUUUUUAAAGAAUAAAAUUUAAAAUUAAAUAUCCAUUAAAUUAAAACCCUGGAGGCCCGGAACUCUUAAUAUUUUAAAUAAAAUGAUAAAGAUGUAUGAUCUUCGUUAUUCCACGAUAUCUGGUCCCAUCGGUGGCCACCGCCGGAAGAAACCCCUCACGUAUAUUCAAUAUUAAAUAAAAAAUAUAUAUAAUUCUAAUAGAUUGACCAGGGAUAUCAUUUCAUUUUUUAAUUUUUGUAGAUUCAAAUUGGAUUAUUUAAAUAUAUCAUAAAAAUAAAUCUUUUUUAAAAACAGAUUGAUAAAAAAACAAUUAGUUUAAAGUGACAUAAGUGCUGAUAGAAGGAUCUCCUUUUCUUAUUGUAGAACUAUUGACCGAAAAAAAUAUUUUUUUACUUUGCCAUCAAUGUAUUUUUAAAUAUAUAUUUUUACAAUCAUUCAUAUAUUUUAAAAUAUAUUUAGUGACAUAAAACAAACUACAGCUAAUGUUUGUAAUAUUACAAUCAUGCUUGGCAUUUGGCAUGGAUCAUGUUUGAUUCAAUGGAUGACAUCGCAUGGAUCAUGUUUGAUUGUGUAAGUCUUGUAAUCGAUUAAUUAUUUACAUGUGAUAUUAAAUUUAUUUAUAUAAAUAUAUUUAAUUAUUAAAAAAAAUUGUUUAUUUUUAAUAAUUAUAUUUGAUUAAUGGAUCUAUAAAAAAAUAAAGUUUAGGGAUACAAAUAUUUUAUAAAAAAAUUAAAAAAUUAUUAUAAUUAUAAGAUUUUUUUUUGCAUCAAAAUAUUAUUUUUAAAUAUUUUUGGUUAAUGUAUUUUUAAGAUUAAAUAUUAACUAGAUUCAUUAUAUAUCAUCCCUUAAUGCUUUCAUAACAAUACAUGUAAAAAACAAAGCCUUUUUUUUUCCUUCUCUAUCCCAAUACUUGGAUGUAAUCUCUACUAACAAUCAUAUACUAAUUAGCAUAUCCCUAUAUAGUCUAUGAGUAUAGAUUUGACCACAGACACUUUCCGACUUUUUUUACACUAUUUUUCUUUUAAACAAUGUCUAUUAGUAUAGUUUCUAUAUUAACAACACAUGAGACAAUAUAUAUAUAUAAAAGCAUAUAUAAGCCAUUUAAAUCAAAUCUUUCGAUUCAACUUAAAUACAAAUUUCACCAUUUCCUCUUCACAUUAAAUCUCAUUCUACUAGUCAACCCAUACAUUAAGAUUAAAAUUCAUAGUUACAUUUUGGCUUUUAACUAUAGUACUAUUGUUGGAUUUCCCAAAUAACAUAAACGCAGCAGAAACAAUAAAAAAUAAAAUUAGAAGUUUUUAUAAAUCAUUAAAUAGAUCUAGAGUUGUUAAGGGAUUUAUUACCUGAAGAUCUUCAGUUUUGAAUAGUUCUUUAAAGAUUAGGUUGUUGCAAAUCACAAGUCUUCCAAUUGUCCAGCCUGCACCUGUAAUUCACAUGAAUCACUAUUGAGAAAUAUUCUAAAUCUCUAUUUAGAACAAAGAUAUUGUUGUGCCUAGAGUGCUAGCUCUCUAUUUUAAGACUUAGGUAGUUUUUAUGUCUCAUAGACAACCACAAAAAAGAGAUGUAACUUACUAAUUAUAGAAAAAUCUUAAAAAACUCUAAAAAAUGGCAAAAUAUCAAUUUGCGCCUUGGAUAAUAUCCAUUUAUUAAUUCAUGAUAAUUUUAGAAAUUAACUCAAUCAAGUCCUUACUUGAUUUUUCUAGGUCUAUAGAUAUAAUUUAUAUAUUAAUUAUAUUAUAGUCCUUAAUUUCUAAAAUAUAUUUUAAUCAAGUCAUACUUAAUUAAAUCAUAUCACUUUAAUUUCUGACUAAUCGUUCUUAUUAUGCGACCUAUUAAGUUCCCAAUAUGUUGGCUCAAAUAUAAAUUCUAAUUAAAUAGAAUUAAAUAAAUUAAACAAUUUAAUUUAUUAUCAAUUCAAUAAUUGAUUAAUUUAUAUUUGAAGAUCAGGUGCUUUGCCUAGCAAUAUGUCAUAAUCCCCUAAAUAUUAGAAAAGUCAUUAGUGGUUUAACUUAACCUUUCAAUGACCGGUUUUUCAAUGUAAUUAAUAUCCUCUCAUCAAUAAUAUUUCGAUUUAACAUUAAACCAUGACAUUAAACCAUGAAGUAUGUUUGUUAUGUUAAAUCAUGUGUUCUCUACAUAAUAUUCAUUAGUCGUUUGAAUAAGAUUUGAAACUCUUUUUAAAUCUCAUUUCACCUUAGUUAAGGAUUUCUUAGUCAAUACUAUUUGAGAACAGAUGAAUCAUCUUUUGAUCACUCAAGUACCUUCAGAUAAUUCAUGCCAUACCCAAUGUCUGCCAUUUCAUCUCCUUGAUUAAGAUAACAAGUAACAUGAUCAAAGCAUAACAUUCUCUAUAUAAGAUAACUUAGUGAUCUCAAGUUUAAGGAUCACUUACACAAUCAUCAUGUGAGUCUUUCCAUAUAGAAUUCUCAUGCGGGUCAGUUCAGUGUACAUGUCUUAUAACAAGUACCUACAUAUUAGUUCUAGGUGUCCCUUAUACCUUACUUUAAGAGAACAAUUGCUUCCUUUCAUAAGAGAAAGAACAUGAUAUGUACAAGUCUUUAUAGCUCUAAUAAAUGUCCAACAUUUAAUGGAACAUCAUUCAAGAAUAUUUUAAAAACAGUACUUUGAUGCAAUAGGAAUAUAAUAAUUAUAACAUCUUUAUAAUUUUCUUUGCAAAGUAUUUUUUUUCCCAUGGAUUUUAUCUUUACUCUAGCCUCAUAAAUAAAAUAUUAGAUUAAUUAAUCUAAUAUUAUAUGAAUAUUAAAGAUAAAGUAAGUCUUUAUCAAUAAUAAAUAUAUUUACUUGAGUAUAAUAAUACUACGUGUAACCAACCGAUUGACUACAUGACACACCACCAGAAAUUCGCUAAAUACCAAUGGACAUACCGACGGAACUUUUUCUGUCGGUAUUUUUCGGCCGAAAUCACCGACGGAAAAUAUUCGUCGGUAAUUCCGUCGGUCAUUACAGACGGAAUUACCGCCCGAAAAUUCAGAAUUAAUGAAAAAAGGGCGGGUAGGUGGCGCGGAGGUUUUGGCGGGUGAUUUUGCCGACGGAAUCACCGACGGAAUUAAAAACUGGGGCCCAUACGCGUGAUGGGACCUGUUCACUGUCAAAAAUACCGACGGAAUCACCGACGGAUUUGAAAUGCCAGAUCCGUACCGGUGACGUGACCGGUGCACCGUUAAAAAUACCGACGGAAUCACCGAGGGAUUUGAAUAGCAGGUCCGUGCGGUGACGUGUCGAUUGCCCGUCAGAAUUACCGACGGUUUUGCCGACGGAAUCCAAACCGUCGGUAAGUCCGUCGGCAAAAGUGAAUAUAUGGCCACUCUGCCGACACUCUCCUCUCCCAUUUCUCCUUCUUCUUCCUAAUCCUAACCCUCCCCAUCUGCAAAAUAACCAGCCCCCCCUCGCCCCAAAACAAAAUUCUUCCUCAUCUCAGCACAACAAGUUGUAUUUCUUGAAGUUUUGUGGUCAUAGCAUCCGUGUUCUGAUUUACCGACGGAUUUUAUCAUUUUUUGUAAGUAAUUCUAUCUUUUAAAAUUUUAACAUUUAAAUGUCAAUUUUAUUGUUUUUUUAGUAUAUGUAUUUUUUUUAGUAGAUGUACAUGUUUUAUUGUUAUUUCUCAAACAAACUUGUAGUAUAUGAAUGUAUAAUUUUAUACUUGUUAUGGUUUGUUUUAGAUUUUGUAAGAUUGUAUUUGUUUGAAAAUUGUUAAAACUUAAUUUGUAGAAUUACCGAAUUACAUGUUAUGUUUUGAAAUAAUUAAGAGCUUGCUUAAUGGGUCCUUUUUAUAGAGGUUCGAUAGAAGUCAUGGAUGAUCGUUCAUGGAUGUAUCUAGAUUCACCCCAAGGAUUGCGGAGGAUGGAUUAUUGUAACGGGGUUCAGGGUUUUAUUAAUUUCGCAACAUCUAUUCCCAGAAAUUUUACUGGAGGCGGUAUUAGGUGUCCAUGCAGGAAGUGUCAAAAUAAAAAGUAUCUGCAUCCAGAUGUUGUAAUGAUGCAUCUUCUACACAAAGGGUUUGUGGAGGAUUACGAGUGUUGGUAUGCACAUGGAGAGGUAUUUGUUAGUAAUAGGAGAAUGGGAGAAACGGUGGUUGGGUCAACUUCUAGUGCUAGCAACGUGCAUGAAGCGGCAAAUGACAACACUAAUCCUUACAGAAACAUGGUUAUGGAUGCAAUGAGAAUGAAUCAAGAUAAUGUCAAUCAAUGUCCAAUCGUAGAAGAAGAACCUAAUGCAGAGGCAGCUAGGUUUUUUGAUUUGUUGAAAGAUUCUGACGAACCAUUAUGGGAUGGCUGCACAAACCACAGUAAAUUAUCGGCUGUGGCACAGGUGUUCACCAUCAAGUCAGAUCACGGGUUGAGUGAGGCCGGGUAUGACAAAAUUAUUGAUUGGGCAAGAAGCAUUUUACCAGAAGGGAACAGGCUCAAAGAGAACUUCUAUGCUGCGAAGUCCAUGAUGAAACCCCUCGGUUUAGGAUACCAGAAAAUUGACAUGUGCCCUAACUUCUGCAUGUUAUACUACCUUGAAAAUGCUGUGAUGACCGAGUGCAUGACAUGCGGGCAUUCCCGUUACAAACCCAGAACUGGCAGGGGGAAGACUCUAGUGGCAUAUAAAAAACUUAGAUAUUUCCCGAUCACACCUAGACUGCAGAGGUUAUUUAUGUCACCAAGGACUGCUGAGCACAUGACAUGGCACCAAACACACGAUGUCGUUGAUGGUGUGAUGGUGCAUCCUUCUGACGGCGAAGCGUGGAAACGCUUUAACAGUGUUCAUCCUGACUUUUCUGCUGAAUCAAGGAAUGUUCGACUUGGGUUGUGUACAGACGGGUUCAACCCAUUUGGGUCAUUUGCUGCUCCCUAUUCUUGUUGGCCGGUCAUUCUCACAGUUUAUAACUUGCCACCGGGAAUGUGUAUGAGGCCGGAGUUCAUGUUUCUAUCUACUGUCAUACCCGGUCCAAGCAGCCCGGGGCGGAAUAUAGAUGUUUGUCUUCGACCGUUGAUAGAUGAGCUGGCGCAGUUGUGGUCCUCCGGAUCUCUGACUUAUGAUAUAUCGAGGAAACAAAAUUUCCUUAUGAGGGCGGCUUUGAUGUGGACUAUCAGUGAUUUUCCAGCUUAUGGAAUGCUUUCUGGUUGGAGCACGCAUGGGAAACUCGCAUGUCCAUACUGCAUGGAAAACAACAAGGCAUUCACGCUAGCAAACGGAGGUAAAGCUUCUUUUUUUACUGUCACCGUCGCUUCUUGCCACUUAAUCACAGGUUCAGAAAGAACAGAAAAGAUUUCUUUGUUGGUAGAGUUGAAAAAGAUGUUGCAUCCCCGCGUCUUUCUGGUGAAGAAUUGCAUCAUGUUGUAUCAGAGUACGGUGACAUUGUGUUUGGCCUUCAAUCAGGUAAGCAAAAGUUUCCUGGUUUUGGUUUGACCCAUAAUUGGGUAAAGCGAAGUAUCUUUUGGGAGCUUCCGUAUUGGAAGACUAAUCUUCUCCGCCAUAACCUUGACGUCAUGCACAUCGAAAAGAACGUGUUUGAGAAUAUUUUCAACACCGUCAUGGAUGUGAAGGGGAAGACAAAGGACAACAUGAAGGCUAGAUUGGAUAUAGCUUUAUACUGUAACCGUAAAAAUAUGGAGUUGGUUUAUGACGAGUCACGGGUUGCAAAACCAAGGGCAAGCUUCGUGUUAGAGAAAAACGCACAACUGCUAGUCUACAAAUGGCUUAAGAGUCUGCGUUUCCCGGAUGGACAUGCAUCGAACAUAUCAAGGCUUGUUAACAUAGAGGACUGCAGAUUGUAUGGAAUGAAGAGCCAUGACUGCCACGUGUUUAUGCAAACACUCAUCCCAUUAGCUUUUCGUGAUUUGUUGCCAAAGGGAAUAUGGGAUGCACUAACGGAGAUCAGUCAUUUCUUCAGAGAUAUAUGCUCCAGCAAGAUGAAUGUUGAGCACAUUGAGAUGCUUCAAACGAAUAUCAUCGAGACACUAUGCAAACUUGAGAUGAUAUUCCCUCCUUCAUUUUUUGACUCAAUGGAGCAUCUCCCUAUACAUCUACCGUUCGAGGCAAAAGCUGGAGGACCGGUCCAGUAUAGAUGGAUGUACCCAUUCGAACGGUGAGAUAUUACAGUUGCAAUGGAAUUCAUAUCUUAAAGUAUUUUCUAUGUUUUUCUUAUUUGAAAAUACUUGAAUUGUACUUCAAUGCAGGUACUUGUUUAAUCUAAAAAAAAAGGUUAAGAACAAGGCGCAUGUUGAGGCUUCGAUAUCUGAGGCCUAUAUUGUUGAAGAGAUAUCAACAUUUAUCUCGUACUAUUUCGAACCUCAUCUGAGAACAAGAAUCAAUCGCGUUCCACGGCAUGACGAUGGCGGUGAAGUGCCUUCCAGUGGGAACUUGUCAAUAUUCUCCAAUACUGGACGACCCACACCUAAAAAUGCCGUAAGAGGAAGAUAUUUGUCGGAAAUAGAAUUCAAACAAGCACACAACUAUGUUCUAUUUAACUGUGAUGAGCUGAGACCAUUUAUUCAGUAAGUCUAUAUAUGUGUAAUACUAAUUAAACUUUGUCAGUAAUAUACUGUUAAUUAUAUAUUGUAAUAUCAUACACUCAUUAUCACUUGCAGGCAACAUCGACAAUAUUUGCUCUCCAAUAACUCGCAGCUGACCGAAUCCCAGAUCUUUCAAUUACAAGAUGAACAAUUUGCCACAUGGUUCAGAACACAUGUAAGCACUAUCACAAACUCAUUCUAACGUAUGCAUGUCAUUACGAGAUUCUCGUUCAUUUACCGUGUAUUGAUGUACAUUUAAUUACAUAUAUUUACAAGGUUUAUCAAAUGGGAAGGAGUGCGCCCAAGUCAUUGUCUUCACUAAGCCUCGGCCCUGAAAGAAAAGUUAAGUGCUACAACGGGUAUUUUGUCAAUGGAUAUGUUUUCCAUACUGAAGAAUACGGGCAAGGAAGAAAGACAUACAACUGCGGUGUUUGUGUUAAGGGAUCCACAAGUAGCCAGUUAGAAGUUGACUACUAUGGUAGAUUAGAAGAGGUCGUCGAACUGCAAUAUCAUAGCGAGCAGAAUAAAGUGUUUUUAUUCAAAUGCUAUUGGUAUGACACGACGGACAGAGGAAUCAGAGUUGAUCCGCACCAUGGUCUGGUCGAAAUCAACUCAAAAGCUAGACUCCGCAACAUAAACGAUGUCUUUGUUUUCGCAAAGCAAUGUCAACAAGUUUAUUACACAUACACCCCUUCAUUUAGAAAGGAUCGUUCAAGAGUUGAUUGGUUGUCCGUUUUAAAAACGAAACCACGGGGUCGUGUCGAGGUUGUUCAGGAUGAGAACGAAGACACAAGUGUGCGAGAUGAAGUCUUUCAAGUUCGUGAGUUGGUUGAACCAUAUCGAGUUGCUCCUUCGAUUGAAUUGGAAGAAAAUUCAAAUUUUCGAGUUCUCGAUGAUAGUCUUGUUGAUAUUGACGGAGAGGAGUUGAAUGUUGUUCUCAGCUCUAGCGGACAAGCAAAUGUCGAUGAAGAAGAUGAUAUCCAUAUUGAAGAUUGCGAUGAAGAUGAUGACAAUUCAAUUGACGAGGAAGAAGAAGAAAAUUCCGACUAAUUAUGAAAAUGAAGCCCUAUGUAAAAACAUUUGUCUGAUGUAAUUUAGAUUAUUGAUGAUGUAUUUUGUAAAACAAAAUAUUUACUGUUUAAGCAAUGUGGUUAUUGUGUUUAUGUGAUGGACAAUUUAUCAGUUAAGUUUCUGGAGGAAGGUAAACAGGCAAUACAAAGACAACCUUUCCUGCAUAAUGCAAACUUACCGACAUCCAUACCGACGGACUCACCAUCCGUCGGUAUCUCACAGAGAGUUCGAAAAUAUUUACAACAAAAUGCCACAAUCACCGACGUCUAUACCGACGGAUUCACCGUCCGUCGGUAUCUCACAGAGAGUUCGAAAAUAUUUACAACAAAAUGCCACAAUCACCGACGUCUAUACCGACGGAUUCACCGUCCGUCGGUAUCUCACAGAGAGUUCGAAAAUAUUUACAACAAAAUGCCACCAACACCGACGUCUAUACCGACGGCUUCACCGUCCGUCGAUAUCUCACAGAGAGUUCGAAAAUAUUUACGCGAAAUGCCACCAACACCGACGUCUAUACCGACGGCUUCACCGUCCGUCGAUAUCUCACAGAGAGUUCGAAAAUAUUUACGCGAAAUGCCACCAACACCGACGAACUUACCGACGGCUUCACCGACACCUAUACCGAUGGAAUAAAAUCCGUCGGCAUAUCACAGUAAGCUCGAAAAACAUCCACCACCAUCGACGGUAUUACCGACGGACAUAUUCCGUCGGUAAUUUGUCGGUCACACAUAUUACCGACAGAAUUACCGACGGACCGUGCGAUUUCCAAAGUGUGUGGAUUAAUGCGCUCUGAACCUGUCAGAUUACCGACGGAAUCACCGACGGACUGCGAAAAAUUUGGAGGGCUUUUAAAAAUUCGAGGCGAAAUUCGAAAAAUACCGACGGAAUUUUGACCUGUUACCGACGGAAUUUUGACCUGUUACCGACGGAUGUUAAGUCCGUCGGUGAUUCCAUCGGUAAAAUUGACAUAUAAGUUCCAGCCCCCGCCGCUUCGCUUUAUUUUUUCUUCUUCUCCCCGCCGCUUCGCUUCUCCUCCGUUUUUCACCUCAGAUUUUUCAUUUUUUCCCCUCAAUCCUUAAACACUUUCACCUUUAAUCUCUAGCAAGAUUUGGUGUUGUAAAUCUUCAUUAUAUUAAAAGGUAUGUGUUUUUUUCCUAAUUUAUUUUAUUUUAUUUUAUUUUAUUUUUAGUUGUUUUUAUUUUUGUUGUUUUGGUGUUUUUUGUUGCAAUGUAGAUAAAGUUUUGAAUUUGACACAUUAUUAAGGUAUGUAUAUUUCGUUCCUUUUUUUUUAAUUUUUUGAAUAUUUUUUGAAUUUGUUGAAUAUUUGUUAAUUUAAUUGUUGAAUAAUUGAAUUUAAUUGUUGAAUUUAUUGAAUAUUUUUUGUUGUUGUGUUGUUAGAAUUGUUAUUAGUUAAUUUAACUUAGAAUUUGUUAAAGUUGAAUAUUUGAAUAUUUUUUGAAUUUUUUGAAUUUGUUGAAUAUUUGUUAAUUUAAUUGUUGAAUAAUAGAAUUUAAUUGUUGAAUUUAUUGAAUAUUUUUUGUUGUUGUGUUGUUAGAAUUGUUAUUAGUUAAUUUAACUUAGAAUUAGUUAAAGUUGAAUAUUUGAAUAUUUUUAGAAUUUUUAGAAUUUGUUGAAUAUUUGUUAAUUUAAUUAUGAGUCUAUAUUUUUUUUUAAUUUAUUGAAUAUUUUUUGUUGUGUUGUUAGAAUUGUUAUUAGUUAAUUGAAGUUAGAAUUAUUUAAAGUUGAAUAUUUGAAAUUUUUUGAAUUUUUUGAAUAUUUGUUAAUUUAAUUGUUUGUCUAUAUGUUUUUUUUAAUUUAUUGAAUAUAAUUUAUUGUUGUAUUGCCUAUAUAAUUAUUGAUUAAUUUAUUGAAUUAAUAUUGUUAAUGUUGAAUUUACCUUAGAAUUAAUAAUUGCGUUUGUUGGAAUAAUUAUCGAUUUCCAAUUUAAUUUAUUUACUUUUAAUUUAUUUUUAGUUGUUUUUAUUUUUGUUAUUUUGUUGUUUUGGUGUUUUUUUUGGUAAUGUAGAUAAAGUUUUGUGUCACAUUAUUAAGGUAUGUAUAUUUCGUUCCUUUUAUUGAUGUAGGGUUUUUUUUUUUUAAUUUUUUGAAUAUUUUUUAUUGUUUUGUUGUCAUAAUUAUAAUGAUUAAUUUGUUGAAUUAUAAUUGUUAAUGUUGAAUUAUAAUGAUUAAUUUGUUGAAUUAUAAUUGUUAAUGUUGAAUUAUAAUGAUUAAUUUGUUGAAGUAAUCACAAAUUAAUUUCAUUUCUUUUCAGGUUCACAAACAUUGAGGCCGCCCGAGUAAUAUCAUCGGCGUUUAAAGCGUCGAUGGAUAUUCCAUUGUUUCAAUGGAGUUAGAUAUCCAGACAUCCUGAAUGGAUGCCUCAAAUCAAUGCAUGGUUUCGUAGAUUUGAGGUUCGUGUUAAUAUAUAAUUUUCAGUUUAUUUCUAAUAAAUUCAAGUUAUAAUUGUAAAUAAAUUAUUAACAUUUUAAAAAAUUAUUUUUUUAUAUACAGCAUCGAUUCUGCUGGGACGAUGAACAUGACACUGUUGUGAGGAGGGUGUGGGAAAAUCACGCGGCAAUUAGGUAACAUCGUAAACAAUACGACUUUUUUUUACAUAAUUAUUUAUGUUUCGAAAUGUAAUUUUUUCGUGCGUGAAUUAGGUUGCGUGAUUUUUGGUAUGACACCCAGAAAAAAGCAAAAAAAACAGCGAGGGAUAAGGGGUUCUAAGGCUGGAACGAUGUUGCGGUUUGGAGGGAUUUCAAACCAAUAUACAUCCUGGAAGAUAUAUGGCCGCAAUAUCUUCAGCACGUGACGUCUGAGCGAUUCACUCGACGCUCACAGUCCGGUGUUGGCAACCGUAAUCGGCCAAUUCAUGGCUCGGUGACAACGCACACCGGCGGCUCCGUUCCGUUUUCUGCACAUGCGAAACGGAUGGUAAGAUUAACUUAAAUGAAAUAUAUCGUUCAAUUAAUUUGUUGUUAAUACAUUUUUUUCAUUAUAGGCUACGUCUCUUGGACGUGAGCCGAGCCCUAUAGAGCUGUUUGUAGAGACGCACAUGCGAAGUCAUGACUGCCAAAAGGGGACGCAACAGUUCGUUGACAACCGUGCUCAACAUUUUGUGGUAUGUUUGUUCAACCAUUUUAUUUUGUAAGUUAUUAUUAUGUUUAUUGAAUUGAAUAUGAUGAUUUUUUUUUUCAGGAGACCUAUAAUAAUCGGUUGAGGGAGAGAUACGGGGACGAUCCAUCGACCCAUCCGGAAUUCGAUCCGGAUUUGUGGAUGGAGGCUGGAUCGUCAGGUGGAUCCGAUAAAAAUCGGGUUUACGGGCUCUCCAACACUACCGCGGCCAACUUGCGGUCGACCGGUACUGCUUCAACCGCUGGGAGCUCCCAAUCUGUAUCGAGCUCCCAAUCUAAGGAGUUUGUGGCCUUGCAGCAAAGGUGCGACCACCUAUCAGAGGCAUACACACAACUCAAAGAAGAGCAAAGAUUGGCGAACCAACAACACAGAGCAGAGUCUGAACAACAAAGAGCGGCCUAUGAAGAGCUUCGGCAAAUGGUCAUGAACAUGACACAAGGUGGAACAUGUGCGCCUAAUCCUUUUUGGCCACCUAACCCCCAUCCUCCUCCUCCUCCUCCUCCUCCACCUUUAUAUUAAUUUUUAAUUAACAUUAUUUACAUUUAAAAUUAUGUUUAAUGUUUUUUUGAAACACAUUCAUUUUGUAAUGAAUAUUAUUUCACUGAGUUUUUGUUGCUUAAUAUAAAUUUUAUUUGCAUAAUUGGUUUGUAUUACCAUUAAUUUAUAUCAUUUUUUCAAAAUAAUUAAAAAACAAUUAAAAAAAAAACAAUUACACAGGGAUUUACCGACAGAAUAACUUCGUCGGCAUUGGACAGUGUCUACCACCGUCACCGACCAUCACCGACGGAACAAAUCCGUCGGUAUAAAUUCCACGACGUAUUUACCGACGAAAAUUUUCGGUCGGUAUAAAAUAUCACCGACACGUUUGCCGACGGAGUUAUUCCGUCGGUAUUUUUAUAACACCGACGGAACAUAUUCCGUCGGUAUAUUCAAGCGGGAAACUUUUUUUUUUUGGCGCGCACGGUCCGUCGGUAAACCCGUCGGUAAAAGUUUUUUUGGUAGUUCCGACCAAUAUAGCGACGGAAUGUGGAAUCACCGACAAAAGGUAUUCCGACGGGAGUAUUCCGUCGGCAAUUUAGUCGGUAAAUAAUUUACCGACGAAAUGUCUAUCACGCACCGACGGAAUAUGUCCGUCGGUAAAACUGUGAAAUCUAGUAGUGACAUAUUAAACCAAUAAUCCAUAACUUGCACUGAAGUCAAUUGCUCAUGUAUCUAAUACCAUAUUGCUCUAUGUAGUAUUAAUGCUUAUGCAUGUAUAAUGACUUGGUAAGAGAAUCUUAUAUAUUCUUUUUGGCGGGUACUCACUCUAUUUCUUAAGUGCUUGUUUGGAUCAUUGAUGAGACCUUGAUUCUUUUACUCAUGCAAAUACUUUAUUGUUAUCAUCAUAUAAGACAACUAGAUCAAUAAUGCUAGGAACCAACCUAGUUUAUUGAUGAACUUCUUGAUCCAAACAACCUCUUUGUUUCCUUAGAUACAAAUAUGAUAUUAAAAUACCUGGUUUUUGUGAAAACAUUGAAAAAAAAAAGUUUUGUUUUCAUCCAUAUGACCAAGUCUCUCAAAAAUAAAAGAAAAAAAAAUCAUAUUGUAUUUUCAUAUAACAAAGAAAUUUUCAAAAAUAUGUAUUAGCAUGCAUUUUGGCUUUAAUAACUAGUUUAUUUAAGUCACGAGAACUAGGCCAAUAUUUCAAAAUUUUCAAAAAAAUUAUUUUGUUUUUUUUAAUAACUAGGGUUAUAACCUUAUACAUAAGACAUAUUCCAAAUAUUAAAUUCUUUUAUUGACGUCAAAACGGUUAGGUUUUACCUGAUAAAAUAAGGAUCUCCUUACCAAGAAGAACUUUUCUUAAACCAGAGGCUGACCAACAAUUAAAAAACACGAUAAGACCUUAGAUUUUAUCAGAUAAUUAAACAAUGCAGUCUACCUUAGGUAGGGCAUAUUUGGGGUGUUAAUACUAUUUUUUUACGUAACUAGUCCCUGUACGCAAUCUUUGAGACCAGUUAUAGUUCUUAGUUACCAAAAUAUUAGGUGGUGACUCCAAUUCUAUUUUUCCAUAGAUAAAAGAUAAGAAUUCCUUGUCUCCCCACAUUUGCUAGAUAGAUACCGGAUAAUAUAGGUUAUGAGAGUAGAUAUUUCAUCUACGACGCUACACACGUGCGACAAUCAUAAGUGACUCGUCCAAAUUAUAUAAGUUAGUUAAGUAAGACUCUAUUUUAUAGUAUUAAACAUAUUCGAUUAAUGGUAACCUUGAAUGACUCGAUAUAUUAUUCAUGAAUAGAACUCUGGUUUUAUACAUAUAAAAUUAAAAGAUGAUUAUUCAUAUUCUCAACAUCAACAUAUUAUUCAUGAAUAGAACUCUGGUUUUAUACAUAUAAAAUUAAAAGAUGAUUAUUCAUAUUCUCAACAUGUACUUAAUAUAUUAACGAUGGAUUUAUUAUCAAUUAAACAUAUCUUAUUCAAAACAUGACAUAACAAAUAUAUAUUUCAUAUAUAAUAAUUUAAAUAUAAACAUACACUCCUAGCAUGCGAUUCUAAUUGAAUGAUUAUGAACAUGUCUAAGCUAUUUCCCUCGAACCAUUGAAAUGAAUUAGAUGGUCAAAUCCUGGGUAGCUUCUGCAAAUCUUUAUAUGUCCUGUGCAAGCAUAUCAGUUGUAGCUUUUAUCGUCAUUUCUUUCUUCUUCUUGAAUUACAAAAUAAUUUCCUAUCUAAAUUACAUAACAUUUACAUAAUUAAUUAAAAAACCUUGACUUACACUCAAAGAGAAUUAGAUGAGAAAAGAAUUGAAAACCUUGAAGAAAAAUAGAGAUAAAGCAUGGCACACAAACCCUAUUUAAUAAAAAUUCUAACCAUUUAACCAUCAAAUAAAAAGUAUAAUCACAUUGGUUUUUAAUGUCCAUAAUCAUCCAUAAUGUAUAAAAGCACUUUAAUAUCAUGAUAAAUUACAUUGCAUACUUCAAUUCUAAUUAUUGACUUUAUGUGCUACUAUAUAGUAAUAUUUCUAAGACAUAGAUAUAUUUAAUCAAAUUUAAUUUGAUAAUUUUCCAAACAAAAUUUUUUUAUUUAAUAUAAACACCAUGGAAAAUAUUUUUUUAAAUUUAAUAAGAAAAUUAAUGAUAUUAAAAUUCUUAUUAAUAUCCUAAAGUAUUUUAGGAUUAAUUCAAUAACAUUUUCCAGCUAAAAGCUCGCAUUAUUUUUGAAAAAGAAUUUUUCUAAAUAUUAUUUAAUUAAACUGUUUAAUUAAAUAGAUCAUAAUAUCAUUAGGAUAUCAUAAAACUUAAAAAUUGAAUUAAACAAUUUAAUUCAUUCAUAAUCCAAUUAGAAAAUUUAAUUCUUUAAUUAUAAUAAUUUGGAUUUUAAUUUUAAUAUAUAAUUAUUAUUUUAUAUAUGAAGGGUUAAAAUCAUAAAUUCAGCCCCAAAAAUACCUAAAGGUAAUUUGAUUUAAGUUGCAAAGGUAGAAUCAUAAUUCUCUCUUAAAACACCCUAAAAAGACUGCAUGGUAUAAUUGUAAUUCUACCCUCUUCAUCUCUUUGCUGCAGCAGCCUUGCUCCUGUAGGCUAGCUACUGCUGCCGGCGGGGGCACAUUGCCUAUGUCGGUGAAAGCCAUAUCAACGAAAGACAUGUCCUCUGCCCAGCAGUGCCUAUGACGCUUGGGGCUGCGCCAGGCAGCACCCAUGGUGCCAGAUGCUGCUCGUGGCAGCGCCCAUGACGCUGAAUGUUGUGCGCGGCAGUGUUUAAAAGGCUCUAGGUGCUGUUUGUUUAGUGCCAAUGAUAGAUCUCCUUUAUUUUAAAAAACAAUUCUGCCAGAUUUUGACGAAAUUCAAAUAAUCCGGCCAGAUCUGGCUGGAACACCAGAAACAAUUUUAUUUUUGAAAAAUCAUAGAGAGAAAAUUUACUUUUUGACAAAAUAAUUUUGCAUAUAAAAUUAAUUCGAAAUUAAUAUCAAUAACAAUUAAAACAUGCAAUCAACAACCCUAAUUGUCUAAUGAUGACUCUAAUACCACCAUUGGGUUUCAUGAAUAGUAAACACGCAGCGAAAAUAAUAAAACAAAAUUAUUCAAGAUUUCCUACGAUCUCAUUAAAUAAAUCUAUAGUUAUUUAGAAAAUUAUUACUUGAAGAUCUGAUUUUCUUCGGCUUUUAUAAAUUUUAAUCCAAGACACUUUUUAAAAUAAACUCAAUCAAGUCUUUACUUGAUUUUUUUAAAUUUAGAAAUAUAAUUCAUGUAUUACUUAUAUUCUAGUUCUUAAUUUCAAAAAAUAUUUUUUAAUCAAGUCAUACUUAAUUAAAUCAUUCCAGUUUAAUUUCUGAUUAAUGAUUUUAAUAUGUGACCCAUUAGAUUCCCAAUAUGCUGGCCCAUUUUUUUAAAAAAUUCUAAUUAAAUAAAAUUAAAUAAAUUAAAAAAUUUUAAUUUAUUAUUAAUUCAGCAAUUGAUUAAUUUAUAUUUGAAGAUUAAGUGAAUUGUCUACCAAUGUGUCAUGAUCACCUAAAUAUUAGAAAAGUUAUUAGUGGUUUGACUAAACCUUUCAAUGAUCGGUUUCUCAGUGUAAUUAAUAUCAUUUAAUAAAUAAUGUUCUGAUUUAACAUUAAAGCAUAUAGUAUGCUUGUCAUAUUAAAUCAUAUUUGUUCUCUACAUAAUAGUUAUUGAUCGUUUAAAUAAGAUUCGAAACUCUUUUUAAAUUUUAUUCCACCUUAGUUAAGGAUUACUUAGUCAAUACUAUUUGAGAAUAGAUGAAGCAUUUUUUCUAAUUCACACAGGGUGAUGAAUCGUUUCUUGAUCACUCAAGUACAUUCAAAUAGUUCAUGUUAUGCCAAAUAUCUACUAUUUUGUUACCUUGAUUAAGAAAUAAUAUUUAAUGGGAUCAAGACAUUAUAUUUUUUAUACAAGAUAACUUAGUAAUCCCAAGUCUAAAAAUCACUUACAUAAUCAUCACGUGAGCCUUUCCAUGAAUAUAGGUGAUCACUUCAUAAGGAAUCCUUAUACGGGUCAAUUCAGUGUACAUGUUUUAUGACAAACACUUAAAUAUUAGUUCUAUGUAUCUCUUAUAUCUCAGUUUAUGAGAACAACUGUUUCCUUUUAUAAGUAAAGAACAUAAUAGUAUCAAUAUUUACGGCUCUAAUAAAUGUUUCAUACUUAAGAGUAUCAACCAAUAGUUUUUUAGGAACAAUGAUUUGAUACAAGUAAAAUCUCAUAAUUAUAACUUUAUAAUUUUUUUUACAAAAUAUUUUUGUCCUAUGAACUUUAUAUUUACUUUAAAUUCAUAAAUAAAAUAUUAAAUUCAUUAAUCUAAUAUCAUAUAAAUAUUAAAAAUAAAUUAAAUUUUUAUUAAUAAUAAAUAUAUAUUUACUUGAAUAUAAUAUAACAACACGUGUAAUUAAUGGUUUGACUAUAAAAAAUAUUAAACUAACAAUUGUGUCAUUACAUUGGUCUUUUCUCGAAGACAGGCCAUACUGCAUUCAUUUCUCUCUAUCCAAAACGACCGACUUUACCAUUAUUACUAGUCUUCGUUCAAUGUGACAUACUUUAACAUUUUCAUUAGUCUUUGUUCGACACAGCAAACUCAACAUUUUCCUCACAAAUCUUUUGAGACUUUAAAAAGAAUUUAGUAAUUUAAAAGAAUUUAGUACAGUAAUUUAAAAAGGACAUGGAGCUAAACACCUAGUUGCUCAUUCAACUACAUGAGUUCCUCCAACCAUAAAUAAUCAUGCUCCUGGUGCCUCUUCUUAUUUAAAAGAGGUACCAUUAUCAAUAUACAUCAUUUUUAUUUUUAUGGUACUUUAAUCUUAUCUACACAAUUCAUCUUCAUAAUUAUUUCCUUUCACUUACAUAUCAUUACAUUGAUACGAGAGUAAUUAUAUAAUUCCUUAAAUUAUGAAUCCUAUUACUUUUCAUGGAAGGCAUUUACUUCUUGUUAAUUCCUUUUGCCAUCUUGUAUUCAUUUCCCAUUUCAUUACUUAUUUACUAACAAUCUAAUCUAACCCUAAUUUCCCAAAUUUCAUGUAUGGUCCCAACGCUAUUAACAUUCAAAAACAUAUUCCGACGCAUAAUUUUAAUUUUACUAAAUUAACUAUCCAUGUUCCUUUAUAUUCAUAUUUGGUUUAAAUCAAACCUUGACAUAAAUGAGAUUUCCAAGUUAUUUUCUUCAUCAUAUAUUUUACAUAACAUAAGCUUUAUGCCCAUUUAUAUAUUUCCAAUAUCAAUUUUCCAUGUGUAUAUAAUCAUUCAUUUAUUUCCACUCAUCACCGUCUCAUUAAUAUAUACAUGAUUAAUCACAAUUUAUAAAGACUUAUAAUCAAUUAUCUAAUUUCCCCAAAUCCAUAUACAUGGCCAAACUUAAUGACCUCUAUUUCUUUCCUGAUUUUCCUAAAACCUCUCCAUGAUUUUAACUAAUAGAAAUAAUGGCAUACCCAUUCCAUCAAUAUCAUAAACAAUUACACAUUUGCUUUCGAUUAUCUCACAAAUUCCUAGCAUAAAGUAUACUAAAAUCUUGAAUAAAAUUAAAUAAAUUCAUUCAUUUCCAAACAUCAUAUCUAUAAUAAUACAUAUUAAUCAUUCAAAAUUAAUACGCAUUUAAACCAAUUUCACUAUUUUCCUAAUUACUACAUAAAAUGACCGGCCAUAAGAACUCUUACCCACCGUGAUUCCUUCUUCAAUUCUCCAAUAAUCCAUACCUAUCAACACUUAUUCCUUUUCAAUUACUUCAAUUACAAUCAAUUUUGCAAUUCCCUUAAAUUCAACAAUGAAUUUAACUUAAAAUUUUGGAACUUCUAUCAAAAUCAUGUAAGCUUCACUCAAACUUGGAUGGAUGGGUUUAAAACACUUUGCAAGUUGAUUAUAUAAACCUUUAAUGCCUUUCUGGUUAGUUUUCACUAACCCUUCUUCUUCAUCUUAAAAACCCUCACUUUCUCACUUUAACCAAACUUUUUCCUUACUUAAUUCUCUCUUAAAUAUGGUGUUUAGGUGUUUAAAACCCAAUAACCAACUUAUGUCAUCCAAAAACUGAGUCUCCUCAAGGAAUGUUUGGUGGAAAAACAAAUGAAAAAGAAGAAUGAAGCUUCCUCUUUUCUUUCAUCAUCGUCGACCUCUAAUUUAAAGAAACACUACUAGAAAUUCGCUUAAUAGCAACGGAAUCACCGACAUAAUAUUUCUGUCGGUAAUUUGAGGUCGAAAUUACCAACGAAAUUUUUCUGUCCGUAAUUUGGUUGGUAAUUACCGACGGUUGUAGUCCGUCGGUAAUUACCGACCGAAUUACGGACAAAAGUUAAAAAUUAAGAAAAAAAGGGCGGGUCGCUAACGUGGAGGUUUUAGGGGGUGAUUUUUUUGACCGAAUCACCGACGGAUUUGAAAAGGGUGACGGGACCGGUUCACCAUAAAAAAUACCAGCGGAAUCACCGAGGGAUUUGAAAUGGCAGAUCCGUACGGGUGACAUGACCGGUUCACCAUCAACAAUACCGACGAAAUCACCGAGGAAUUUGAAAAGCAGGUCCAUGCGGUAACGUGUCUAUUUUCCUGUCAGAAUAGCCGAUGGAGUCACUGACGGGUUUAUUCCGUUAGUGAAUCCGUCGGAAAAAGUUAAUAAAUGGCCUCUCUGCCAACCCUCUCCUCCCUCCAUUUCUCCUUCUUCCUAAUCCUAACUCUUCCCAUCUGCAAACAACCAGCCCCCCCUAGCACCCAAACAAAAUUCUUCCUCAUCUCAGCACAACAAGUUGUAAAUCUUGAAGUUUUGUGGUCAUAGCAUCCGUGUUCUGAUUUACCAACAGAUUUUAUCAAUUUUUGUAAGUAAUUCUAUCUUUUUAAAUUUUAACAUUUAAAUGUCAAUUUGUUUUUUAGUAUAUGUAUUUUGGUUAGUAGAUGUACAUGUUUUAUUGUUAUUUCUCAAACAAACUUAUAGUAUAUGAAUGUAUAAUUUUAUACAUGUUAUGGUUUGUUUUAGAUUUUAUAAGAUUGUAUUUAUUUGUAAAUUGUUAAAACUUUGUGGAAUUACCGAAUUACAUGUUCUGUUUUGAAAUAAUUAAUAGCUUGCUUAAUGGGUCCUUUUUAAGUUUUAUCGAUGGUAUUGCAGAGUGGUAAUUUCUGUUAAUUUAUAUAUAUUAAUUUGUAUGGACGUUGAUAAAUGAUAAUGAAUAUUUAAUAAUUAUGAGAAAUUGUGAUUGGUUUGUUGAUAAUCUCGAGGUAAAGUAAUAUUUUUGCAAGUUUAUUUACCUAACUUAGUUAAUUAAUACAUGAUGUCAUCAUAAUUUUAUCUAGAUUCACCCCAAGGAUUGCGGAGGAUGGAUUAUUGUAACGGGGUUCAGGGUUUUAUUAAUUUCGCAACAUCUAUUCCCAAAAAUUUUACUGGAGGCAAUAUUAGGUGUCCAUGCAGGAAGUGUCAAAAUAAAAAGUAUCUGCAUACAGAUGUUGUAAUGAUGCAUCUUCUACACAAAGGGUUUAUGGAGGAUUACCAGUGUUGGUAUGCAUAUGGAGAGGUAUUUGUUAGUAAUAUGAGAAUGGGAGAAAUGGUGGUUGGGUCAACUUCUAGUGCUAGCAACGUGCAUGAAGCGGCAAAUGACAACACUAAUCCUUACAGAAACAUGGUUAUGGAUGCAAUGAGAAUGAAUCAAGAUAAUGUCAGUCAAUGUCCAAUCGUAGAAGAAGAACCUAAUGCAGAGGCAGCUAGGUUUUUUGAUUUGUUGAAAGAUUCUGACGAACCAUUAUGGGAUGGCUGCACAAACCACAGUAAAUUAUCGGUCGUGGCACAGGUGUUCACCAUCAAGUCAGAUCACGGGUUGAGUGAGGCCGGGUAUGACAAAAUUAUUGAUUGGGCAAGAAGCAUUUUACCUGAAGGGAACAGGCUCAAAGAGAACUUCUAUGCUGCGAAGUCCAUGAUGAAACCCCUCGGUUUAGGAUACCAGAAAAUUGACAUGUGCCCUAACUUCUGCAUGUUAUACUACCUUGAAAAUGCUGAGAUGACCGAGUGCAUGACAUGCGGGCAUUCCCGUUACAAACCCAGAACUGGCAGGGGAAAGACUCUAGUGGCAUAUAAAAAACUUAGAUAUUUCCCGAUCACACCUAGACUGCAGAGGUUAUUCAUGUCACCAAGGACUGCUGAGCACAUGACAUGGCACCAAACACAUGAUGCGGUUGAUGGUGUGAUGGUGCAUCCUUCUGACGGCGAAGCGUGGAAACGCUUUAACAGUGUGCAUCCUGACUUUUCAGCUGAAUCAAGGAAUGUCGUCUUGGGUUGUGUACAGACGGAUUCAACCCAUUUGGGUCAUUUGCUGCUCCCUAUUCUUGUUGGCCGGUCAUACUCACAGUUUAUAACUUGCCACCGGGAAUGUGUAUGAGGCCGGAGUUCAUGUUUUAUCUACUGUCAUACCCGGUCCAAGCAGCCCGGGGCGGAAUAUAGAUGUUUGUCUUCGACCGUUGAUUGAUGAGCUGGCGCAGUUGUGGUCCUCCGGAGCUCUGACUUAUGAUAUAUCGAGGAAACAAAAUUUCCUUAUGAGGGCGGCUUUGAUGUGGACUAUCAAUGAUUUUCCAGCUUAUGGAAUGCUUUCUGGUUGGAGCACACAUGGGAAACUCGCAUGUCCAUACUGCAUGGAAAACAACAAGGCAUUCACGCUAGCAAACGGAGGUAAAGCUUCUUUUUUUUACUGUCACCGUCGCUUCUUGCCACUUAAUCACAGGUUCAGAAAGAACAGAAAAGAUUUCUUUGUUGGUAGAGUUGAAAAAGAUGUUGCAUCCCCGCGUCUUUCUGGUGAAGAAUUGCAUCAUGUUGUAUCAGAGUACGGUGACAUUGUGUUUGGCCUUCAAUCAGGUAAGCAAAAGUUUCCUGGUUUUGGUUUGACCCAUAAUUGGGUAAAGCGAAGUAUCUUUUGGGAGCUUCCUUAUUGGAAGACCAAUCUUCUCCGCCAUAACCUUGACGUCAUGCACAUAAAAAAGAACGUGUUUGAGAAUAUUUUCAACACUAUCAUGGAUAUGAAGGGGAAGACAAAGGACAACAUCAAGGCUAGAUUGGAUAUAGCUUUAUACUGUAACUGUAAAAAUAUGGAGUUGGUUUAUGAGGAGUCAUGGGUUGCAAAACCAAGGGCAAGCUUCGUGUUAGAGAAAAACACACAACUGCUAGUCUACAAAUGGCUUAAGAGUUUGCGUUUUUUGGAUGGACUUGCAUCAAACAUAUCAAGGCUUAUUAACAUAGAGGACUACAGAUUGUAUGGAAUGAAGAGUCAUGACUGCCACGUGUUUAUGCAAACACUCAUCCCAUUAGCUUUUCGUGAUUUGUUGCCAAAGGGAAUAUGGGAUGCACUGACGGAGAUCAGUCAUUUCUUCAGAGAUAUAUGCUCCAGCAAGUUGAAUGUUGAGCACAUUGAGAGGCUUCAAACGAAUAUCAUCGAGACACUAUGCAAACUUGAGAUGAUAUUCCCUCCUUCAUUUUUUGACUCAAUGGAGCAUCUCCCUAUACAUCUACCGUUCGAGGCAAAAGCUGGAGGACCGGUCCAGUAUAGAUGGAUGUACCCAUUCGAACGGUUAGAUAUUACAGUUGCAAUGGAAUUCAUAUCUAAAGUAUUUUCUAUGUUUUUCUUAAUUGAAAUACUUGAAUUGUAAUUCAAUGCAGGUACUUGUUUAAUCUCAAGAAAAAAGGUUAAGAACAAGGCGCAUGUUGAGGCUUCGAUAUCUGAGGCCUAUAUUGUUGAAGAGAUCAACAUUUAUCUCGUACUAUUUCGAACCUCAUCUGAGAACAAGAAUCAAUCGCGUUCCACGGCAUGACGAUGGCGGUGAAGUGCCUUCCAGUGGGAACUUGUCAAUAUUCUCCAAUACUGGACGACCCACACCUAAAAAUGCCGUAAGAGGAAGAUAUUUGUCGGAAAUAGAAUUCAAACAAGCACACAACUAUGUUCUAUUUAACUGUGAUGAGCUGAGACCAUUUAUUCAGUAAGUUUAUAUAUGUGUAAUACUAAUUAAACUUUGUCAGUAAUAUACUGUUAAUUAUAUAUUGUAAUAUCAUACACUCAUUAUCACUUGCAGGCAACAUCGACAAUAUUUGCUCUCCAAUAACUCGCAGCUGACCAAAUCCCAGAUCUUUCAAUUACAAGAUGAACAAUUUGCCACAUGGUUCAGAACACAUGUAAGCACUAUCACAAACUCAUUCUAACUUGCAAAAUUACUGUACGUAUGCAUGUCAUUACGAGAUUCUCGUUCAUUUACCGUUUAUUAAUGUACAUUACAUAUAUACAAGGUUUAUCAAAUGGGAAGGAGUGCGUCUAAGUCAUUGUCUUCACUAAGCCUCGAGCCUGAAAGAAAACUUAAGUGCUACAACGGGUAUUUUGUCAAUGGAUAUGUUUUCCAUACUGAAGAAUACGGGCAAGGAAGAAAGACAUACAACUGCUGUGUUUGUGUUAAAGGAUCCACAAGUAGUGAGUUAGAAGUUGACUACUAUGGUAGAUUAGAAGAGGUCGUCGAACUACAAUAUCAUAACGAGCAGAAUAAAGUGUUUUUAUUCAAAUGCUAUUGGUAUGACACGAUAGACAGAGGAAUCAGAGUUGAUCCGCACCAUGGUCUGGUCGAAAUCAACUCAAAAGCUAGACUUCACAACAUAAACAAUGUCUUUGUUUUCGCAAAGCAAUGUCAACAAGUUUAUUACACAUCUAGAGUUGAUUGGUUGUUCGUUUUAAAAACGAAACCACGGGGUCGUGUCGAGGUUGUUCAGGAUGAAAACGAAGACACAAGUGUGCGGGAUGAAGUCUUUCAAGUUAGUGAGUUGGUUGAACCAUAUCGAGUUGCUCCUUUGAUAGUCUUGUUGAUGUUGCAUUGAGGAGUUGAACGUUGUUUUGAGCUCUAGCGGACAAGCAAAUGUCGAUGAAGAAGAUGAUAUCCAUAUUGAAGAUUGCGAUGAAGGUGAUGACUAUUCAAUUGAUGACGAAGAAGAAGAAAAUUCUAGCUAACUAUCAAAACGAAGCCCUAUGUAAAACCCUUUUCUUCAUGUAAUUUACAUUAUGGAUGAUAUAUUUUGUAACACAAAAUAUAUAUUUAUUGUUUAAGCAUUGUUGCUAUUGUUUUGUGUGAUGGACAGUUUAUCAUUGAAGUUUUUGCAGGAAGGUAAAUAGAAAACACAAACACAACAUCUCUUGUACAUUGAACAUUCACUGACGUCCAUACCGACGAACCACUGUCCGUCGGCAUCUCACAGAGAGUUCGAAAAUAAUUACAACAAAAUACCACAAUCACCGACGAUAAUACCGAUGGACCAUCUUUUAUCGGCAUCUCACAGAGAGUUUGAAAAUAAUUACAACAAAAUGCCACAAUCACCGACAUCAAUACCGACAUACCACUGUCCGUCGGCAUAUCACAGAGAGUUCAAAAAUAAUUACCACAAAAUACCAUAAUCACCGACGAUAAUUCUGACAGACCAUCGUUCGUCAGCAUCUCACAAAGAGUUUCGAAAAUAAUUACAACAAAAUGCCACAAUCACCGACGGAUUUAUCGACACCGAUACUGACGGAAUACUUCCAUCAGUAAUUUGUCGGUGGGCAAAUUUUACCGACACAAAUACCGAUGGAAUGUGCGAAUUCUAAAGGGUAUGAAUUGAAUGCACCUCUGACCGUGUCAGCUUACCGACGGACCACAAAAAAUAUGGAUGGUAAUAAACAAUUCGGUGUGAAAUUCAAAAAUUACCGACGGAUUUUUAACCUGUUACCAACGGAGUUAAGUAAUAAUAAUAAUAAUUUUUAAUUGCCUUCGGUGAAUCCGUCGUUAAAGCUGCCUUAUAAAUUCCAUCGCCCGCCACUUCAAUUCAUUUUUUCUUCUCCUCCGUUUUUCACCUCAAAAUUUUGAUUUUUUCCCUCUCAAUCCUUCAAGACUUUCACCUAGAAUCUCUAGCAAGAUUUGUUGUUGUGAAUGUUCAUCGCAUUAAAAGGUAUGUGUUUUCUUCUAUUUUAUUUAUUUUUAGUUGUUUAUAUUUUUGUUAUUUUGUCGUUUUGGUGUAUUUUUUUUGUAAUGUAGAUAAAGUUUUGAAUUCAACACAUUAUUAAGGUAUGUAUAUUUCUUUCCUAAAAUCUAUAGUUUUUUUUUUAAUAAUGUUUAUUGUUGUGUUGGCAUAAUUGUUAUUAGUUAAUUUGUUGAAUAUUUGUUGUUAAUGUUGAAUUUACCUUAGAAUUAGUAAUUGCAUACGUUGGAAUAAUUAGUAAUUUUAGUCUAUUAUUGCAUGAUUUGUGUUUAAUUAUUUCCAUUAUUUUUAAUUGUUAGUUUAUAUUUUUUUUUAAUUUAUUGAAUAUAUUUUAUUGUUGUAUUGACAUAAUUAUUGAAUAAUUUGUUGAAUUAUAAUUGUUAAAGUUGAAUUUACCUUAGAAUUAGUAAUUGGAUAUGUUGGAAUAAUUAUUAAUUUUUUUAUAUUAUUGCAUGAUUUGUGUUUAAUUUUUUCCAUUGAUUUUAAUUGUUAGGCUAUAAUUCUUUUUAAAUUUAUUGAAUAUAUUUUAUUGUUGUAUGGGCAUAAUUAUUUAAUAAUUUGUUGAAUUAAUAUUGUUAAUGUUGAAUUUACCUUAGAAUUAGUAAUUGAAUAUGUUGGAAGAAUUAUUAAUUUUACUCUAUUAUUGCAUGAUUUGUGUUUAAUUGUUUCUAUUUAUUUUGAAUUUAUUGUUUUGUUGUAUUGGCAUAAUUAUUGAAUAAUUUAUUGAAUUGUAAUUGUUAAUGUUGAAUUUACCUUAGGAUUAGUAAUUGAAUAUGUUCGAAUAAUUAGUAUAGAUUGGGUCAAUUGGUUGUGGCUAUUGUUAAUAUUUGCAGGUUUGUGGAUUUGGGUAGUAUCCAGUAUAGGGGAGGUGCUGCUGAAUUUUUUUUAACAUUUGAAUUUAAUUAUAUAAUUAUUUAUAUAAAAUUAGUUAGAUGCGCAGAAUGAAAACUAGAGCUUCAUGUCCGGUUGCAUCAAGUUCGUCUAGCAGCGAGGAUGAUAUUUCUUUAGGUGCCUCUCAAGAAGAGGCACCUACACCACCUGCGCCGUCAACCGAUACUACCUUUUCUAGCGCUGUUUCACAGCGCAGAAGCGGCGUGCCUUUGCAGUGGAAUAAAUUUAUCUGCAAGUACGAGGCAUAAUUUAUGAAGUAAUCACUAUUUAAUUCAUUUCAUUUCUUUUCAGGUUCACAAACAUUGAGGCCGCCCGAGUAAUAUCAUCGGCGUUUAAAUCGUUGAUGGAGAUUCCAUUGUUUCAAUGGAGUCAGAUAUCCAGGCAUCCUGAAUGAAUGCCUCAAAUCAAUGCAUGGUUUUCCAGAUUUCAGGUUCGUGUUAAUAUAUAAUUUCCAGCUUAUUUCUAAUAAAUUCUUAAUAUAAUUGUAAAUAAAUUAUUAACAUUGUAAAAAAUUAUUUUUUUAUACACAGAAUCGAUUCUGCUGGAACGGGGAACAUAACACUGUUAUGAGGAGAGUGUGGGAAAAUCACGCGGCAACCAGGUAACAUCGAAAACAAUACAACUUUUUUUUUUACAAAAAAAUUUAUGUUUUGAAAUGUAAUUUUUGCUUGUGUGAAGUAGGUUACGUGAUUUUUGGUACGAAACCCAAAAAAAGGCAAAACAAACUACAAGGGAUAAGGGGUUCCAAGGCUAGAACGAUGUUGCGGUUUGGAGGGAUUUCAAACCGAUAUACAUCUCGGAAGAUAUAUGGCCGCACUAUCUUCAGCACGUGACGUCUGAGCGGUUCACACGACGCUCACAGUCUGGUGCAGGCAACCGGAAUCAGUCGAUUCAUGGCUCAGUGACAACGCACACUAGUGGCUCCGUUCUAUUUGCUGCAUAUGCAAAACGGAUGGUAAGAUUAAUUUAAAUGAAAUAUAUCAUUCAAUUAAUUUGUUGUUCAUAAUUUUUUUCCAUUAUAGGCUACGUUUCUUGGACGUGAGCCAAGCCCUAUGGAGCUGUUUGUGGAGACGCACGUGUGGAGUCAAGACCGCCAAAAGGGGACGCAACAGUUUGUUGAUAGCCGUGCUCAACAUUUUGUGGUAUGUUUGUUCAACCAUUUUAUUUUGUAGGUUAAUAUUAUGUUUAUUGAAUUGAAUAUGAUGAUUACUUUUUUAUUUUUAUUUUCAGGAGACCUAUAAUAAUCAGUUGAGGGAGAGAUACGAGGACGAUCCUUUGACCCAAUCGGAAUUUGAUCCGGAUUUGUGGAUGGAGGCUGAAUCGUCAGGUGGACUCGAUAAAAAUCAGGUUUACAGGCUCUCCAACACUACGGCCAACAACUUGUGGUCGGCCCGUAGUGCUUCAACCAUCAGGAGCUCCCAAUCAGUAUCGAGCUCCCAAUCUAAGGAGUUCGUGGCCUUGCAGUAACACACGGCUCUGCUCAAUGAAAAGUACAACCACCUAUCAGAGGCGUAUACACAACUCAAACAACAACAAAGAGUGGCGUCUGAACAACAAAGAGCGGAGUCUGAACAACAGAGAGCAGAGUCUGAAUGGUAAAGAGCUACUUAUGAAGAGCUUCGUGAAAUGGUCAUGAACAUGGCACAAGGUGGAACAUGUGCGCCAAAUCCUUUUUGGCCGAAUAACCGUUAGCCUCCUCCUCCUCCUCCUUUAUAUAAAUUUUUAAUAAACAUUAUUUACGUUUAAAAUUUCGUUUAAUGUUUUUUUGAAACACAUUCAUUUUGUAAUGAAUAUUAUUUAUCUUUCUUUUUUUGUUUUUGAUGCUUAAUAUAAAUUUUAUUUGCCUAAUUGGUUUUUAUUACCAUUAAUUUAUAUCAUUUUAAUGUAUUCUAAAUAAGUUUUAAAAAACAAUUAUAAAGGGCUUUACUGACGGACUACAUCCGUCGGUAUUUGACAGUGGCUGCCACCAUCACCGACGAAUAUCCAGACGAAUACAUUCAGUCGGUAUUCCAUACACUCACCGACAGAGUUACCGACGGAAAUAAUCCGUCAGCAUUUGACAGUAGCUGCCAAACGUACCGACGAAUUUACAGACGGAUGUAUUCGGUCGGUAUUUCGAACCCUCACCGACAACUUUACCGACAGAUAUGGGCCGUCAAUCAUACACUAUAUCACCAAUGGAUUAUUUUCCAUCGGUAUAUUUCAAGCGGGAAACUUUUUUUUUGGCGCGCAAUUUCCGUUUGUAAAACCGUCGGGAAAUUUGUUUUUGUAUUUCCGACCGAUAUAGCGACGGAAUGUGGAAUCACCAACAAAACAUAAUCCGACGGGCAUAUUCCAUUAGAAAUUUAGUCGGUAAAUAGGUUACCGAUGAAUCUCAGUCACACACCGACGGAAUAUUUCGGUUGGUAAAACUGUGAAAUCUUGUAGUGAAAGAGCUUAAAUGUUUCAUGUUGUUUACAAUUUUGCCACUCCUUUUUGCCUCUUUAAUAUUUUCAAGUAUAUCUAUCUAUUCCCGGUAUAAUUUGAUAUUGGAAGUGAUCAGAUUCAUACAUAUUCUUCUAUUUUUCUUUAAAACACUUUAUUUCCAAUUCAAUUUAUUUAUUUUAUUUUAUCAAUCCUCAUCAUUCAAAAUAGAUCUCAUACACCUUUGCUUUGUAGCAUUGAUAAUCUUUUCUAUCCAUUUAACACUUAUUUUGACUCAUUUUUUAUUAUCAUUUACUUAUUUUCAAUUUUUUAACAAAACUUACAUGAAAUUUCAAAUUUACAAGGGUUUCCACAUUAAGAAUAAUAUAUAUUAUGUUAUUUCUUUUAUGAAAGGAAACAAUUGUUUUUAUAUGUUAAGGUAUGAGAGAUAUUUAAAACUAAUAUGUAAGUGAUUGUCAGAUGACAUGUACACUGAAUUGAUUCACAUGAGAAUUCUAUACAGUGAGAUCACUUGUGUCUAUAUAAAGAUUUAUGUGACAGUUGUGUAAGUGAUCCUUAUAAUUGAGGUAACUAAGUUAUAUAGAGAAUGUUAUGUUUUGAUCCAUUAUAUAUUAUCCUAAUAAAGAGUAAUAAAUGGAUAAAUGUUGUGUAUAACAUGAACUAUAUAAAGGUAUUUGAGUAAUUAAGAGAGGAUUCAUCAACAUAUAUGAAUUAGAUAAAAUGUUUAAUCUAUACUCAAAUAAUAUUGAUUAUAAAUUCUUGUGCAAAGUGAAAUGAUAUUUUAAAAGAGUUUCAAAUCUUAUUAAAAAAAUCAAUAACUAUAGUGUUAAGAACAAACAUGAUUUAAUAUAGUAGAUACACUCUAUGUUAUAAUGUAUAAAUCAAAAUAUUAUUGAUGAAUGAAUAAUAAUUACACUAAGAAACUAGUCACUAAAAUAUUAAGUCAAACCACUAAUGAAUUGAUACUAAAUUAAUUUUUUUAAAUUUAUUUACUCUUAUUUUAUUUAGAAUUGUGAUUUGUAUUUGGACCAACUUAUUAAUGUGAUUUAAAUUAAUGAGUCACACACAUAAGAAUCAUUGGUUUAAAAAAAUAAAAUGGGAUGAUUAAUCAAGUUUGACUUGAUUGUAAAUAAGUUUUAAAAAUUAAGGACUAUAAUGUAAUUUAUAUAGGGAAUUACAAUUUUAGAUCUAAAAAUAUUCCUAUAAUUAUCUUAAAAUAAUAUAUGUGAUAUUAUUUAGGGGGAAAAUUUAUAUUUUAUUAUUUAUAGGGUUUUUAGAUUUUUCUAUAAAUAGAAUGUUAUGCCUCUUAUUUUCUACACAAGUAGUGCACGGUAUAUAGUACAUAACACCUGAAAAACACAAAAGAAAAGAGCUAGCAGUCAAAAGCAUAACAAUCCCUCUCUUAAAAAGGUUUAGGAGAUUUUUCACUAGAGAUUCGUGUGUAUUACCAUUAAAGGUUGGACACUUGAACGACUUAUAGUUUACAACAACCCAGCUUUUAAACAAUUAUUCAAAGCAAAAAAAAAUUUGAUCUUCAAGUAAAAAAAAUUUAAACCCUACACAACUCUAGAUCUGUCUAGUAAGAUUUCUUGCCUGGUGCCACAAUGUAAAGCACCUUUCAUGGCCUUUGCCUAUGUUGGGUUGUUUCCCAUCACUAAUAUCCCUACUGCAACACAUGGAAGGUUAAAGAAACUCUUUUACAUGCGCUUCGCCGCAGAUCAAAUAUAUUUUGUUUCAAAUAAAAAGAAUAUAUAUUUAAAAGAUUUUUCAACAUGUUUUUUUUAUUUAAAAUGUUUUUAAGUGACAAUCAAAAACCAUUUUUUCAACCCAUUUUUACUAAAACACCUUGGAAACUGUUAUAAACUUAUCCAUGACCUCAAGAAAAACCAAAUCUUACUAAAAACCAAAAUCAACCUGAAACCAAAAAUCAAAUUGAGCUCAGAUAUGUUUUUAUUAUAAACUUUAAAGGUGAAAAAAACACCUUUGUGAACUCUCCUUAUCAAAUGGAGUCAUUUGACACAAAUAUCGACUAUUUUGGUGGCAUAAAUCAAUAUCAAUGAUAUUUUUCUUUCUCUACCACUGGAAUCCAAUUAAUGACCUAUCUUUCUCCUCCCUUAACUAGGGACUAAAAUAACAAAAAUAAACUCACACCAAAAUUGAAUUUGAAAAAAAAAUGAAGCACCGUAAUCGUAUAAUUUAUGUUAUUUUGAAAGUUAGAUGAACAAAGUUUAUCUUUCCCAAAACUUCUAAAAUGACAUCCAUGUUUGACAUCUUUUCAUUUCGGUCCCUAUUCUUUCAAUUUCACCAUUGACUAAGAAAUCAGAAGCAAUUAGCAUUGAAUUAGGAUCAAAUCACUUAAAAUAAAACUUUGAGGACUGAAAUGAAUUGUCAAAAAAUGAACAAGGUCAUUCACAGUGAUAUGUACAUGCAUGAACAAUGUUAACAUCUAUAGUGAAUAUCCCGCAUGUUUUAAUUAAGUAUUGAAACGACAAAAAGAUUGAUAUCUUCUCCCAAAUGCAGGAGUGUCGAAGUAAUAAAUAACACGACAAGACUGGGAUCGAACCACAGGGAGGGUAACUAUAUAAAUUAUAAAUAACAACAACACAACAACAAGAACAACAACAACAACAACAACAAUAAUAAUAAUAGCAACAAUAAUAUUAACAACAUCAAAACAAUAAUAAUAGUAGUAGUAGUAGUGGUAGUAGUAGUAGUAAUAGUAGUAGUAAUAAUAAUAGUAAUAGUAAUAGUAAUAGUAAUAGUAAUAGUAGUAAAGAGGACUUUGAGAUGUAAGAUUAAUGUGAGAAUUAAACAAUGAUAAAAAUAAAUGUCAAGGUUAAAGGAUUCACUAAUAGUAUUUCAAAUAAGUAUAGUAUAAACUUUUUUUAUUAUACAACUAGAAACCACACACAAAGGGGGUUCCAAUCGGAUUAUAAAUUGUUAAUAUAAUUACAUUAGUUAUCUUAUUCGAAUAAUGCUAAUACUUGUAAAUGUUGUCAGGCAUUCAUGAUUAUAACUUAUGUUAACAACAAAUCAAGUUCCUUUCAUAGCACAAAUAUCAAUUAUACCAUACGUUUGGGCUAUGAAAGUACCAAGUAUUUGUUGUACCAAGAGUUAUACAACAUCAAUCUAGAUUAACCAUUUAACAAGCAAAGUAUUAAAAGUGAACGAGAUAACAAAUAUAAAACAUGUUAGAAUCAAACAUUAAGGUCCAUGUUAAGUUUAUAUUAUAUUUAUUCUUACACCAUUAAUAUACCCUUUUCACCUUGACAUGAUAAACUUAGCUAAACAUAAUGAAAGAGAGAAAAAUAAAUAAACAAGGAAAGGAAAUGAAAAGCAUAAGCAAAAUAUAAAGAGAGAACAAGAGCAUGAUAUUGAUUUGAACACCAAGAUGCCUAAAUGCAUGGCAAAUGCCUCCUUUUAUAGGCCAAAAUUUAGAACUAUUGAUUUGAUGAAUAAUUGUUGAGUGGGUGGCCACAUCUUGACUUGGUGAUAAUCCUUAUCUUCUUGUUUGAACAAAAAGUCAUUACUAACGUCAGAAUUUGAACCAACUUUACUCAUGAAAGUUCUAGGAAACUGUCUAAGCUUUCCAAGAAAAAACAUUGAGGUCAUUUGGACUUCUAAAACUCGAGAUAUGGGCUGAACAUUGAACAAUGUCUGGGUUGCAUGACAGAUUCAGACUUCUUGUUGCUAUAAUUUGGACUUGAAAACGGCCUUUUUAAAUCUUGGACUUCACAUGAAAAUUUUAGGUCUAUGUCUUAUCUUUCCGUCCAUAUAAACUAUUGAUUUGAUGAAAGUUUUACUCAUGAAAGUUUUAGGCUAAAAUUUAAAAUUAUUGAUUUGAUGAACAAUUGUUGAGUGGGUGGCCACAUCUUGACUUGGUAACGGCUUUUUUAAAUCUUGGACUUCACAUGAAAGUUUUAGGUCUAUGUCUUAUAUUUCUAUCCAUAUAAAGCAGACCUAAAUUUGAGAUCUACAGCGCCAAAUAUGAUCCAGUUACCAAACAGUGUUCUAGUUUGGACUGAACCAGCAUCACUUUUCUAAGCUUCACCCUCUCUUUAUCUUCAUAAUUUUAGUAGUUGAAUUCAUCAAUCAAUCAUUUGAUUUAUGUGAUAGGCUUGCAUUUAAGAUGAACAUUUAUCAUAUAUUAAGGUAUCUUAUAGUAUCAGACUUGUUAUUAUAAAAGAUGUUUUAGUUAAGGAGUUAUUGAUACUUCAAAUGCAAAAUGAUGAUAUAAAACCUUGAUAAAAAUAUAUUUUUAAGUACUAAUCAAGUAUAAAGCUAAAAGAUGUGGGGAAAACAUUGUUUCCCCAUAUAUAUUAGCAUUGUCGAUUACAAUAGUAAUCCACAAUGUUGGGGUUAUUGAUUUUUUUUUUAAUUUAGUCCUUAUAUGAUGUGUUUAUGGGGAUUUAAAGUUGAUAAUUUAUUUUAAUUUACCUUUUAUAUGGUUAUCGUAGUAUAAAAAAAAUCACAAUAUUAGAUUGGUAUUAGAAAAAUAUUCUAGUAUCGCGGUAUGACCUAUUUUUUACAAAGUUUAGUUAAAUAAAAAAAUAUUUUUUAAAAAACUAGGUUAUUAAACUUUGUGGAGUCAAUGACCCUGUUUAAGAGUUUGGUGAGGUAACUCUAAUUGUCCUAAUUUGUGUGUUUAACGGGGCACCUUUUUUCUUUCAUUUUCCUAAUUGAACUUGGUUACGUGAUUAUCUAUUUUUCUUUGUAUCAUAUGGUUAAAAAAAUAGUCUUUUUUUUUAAAAACAUGUUAUUAAAUUUCAAAAAGUCCAUAGGUCUGUUGACAAAUAUGAUGAGUUUAACUUUUUAUUUUUUUUAAAAAUUCAAUUUGAUCCUUUGACAUUGGAAUGUUUGAGAAUUGAUUUUCAUAAUUUGUUUUGUUUUGUUUUUUGUUAGGUUAUCAUAGUCUCAAAAAAAGUUCCAGUAUUGGUUUGAUACUCGAUUUUGCGAUCAUCUAUUUUUGUUAUCAUAUAAUUAAAUAAACAAUAUUUUAGAAAAAAGAAAACAAGUUAUUAAUCUUAAUGAAGUUAAUUACCUGGUUUAUGGGUUUCACAUGUUGACCCGAGUUUCCCAUUUCAUAAAUUUAGAGGGUUUACUCAUUAAACUUGAUAUGUUUUUUUUUUAGUUUAUGGUUCUUUAAUUUUUCUAAGUGUUUUUUUUUUAUUUCACUCUUCUUCAAUAUUGGAUUGGUUGAGAAAUGGUAUUCAUAGCUUCUUUUUUUUUUUUUUUUUUACUUUCUAUAGAGUUAUAUGAUCUCAAAUAAAUAUCUUUUUUUAGAGUUGAUGCUCGAUUUUAAAAGCAUCUAAUGUUAUCAUAAAAUUAAAUAAAAAUAAUUUAUAAAAAUAACAAAGUUAUUAAACACAUUAAAGUCCAAGAACAAGUUUUAAGAUGAUCGAGGUUAAUCUAAUCUGGCAUGGUCUCAUUAUAUAUAAAAAAAUUAUCAUUUUAAAGUUUUUUUAAAAGUUAUGUUAUAUUUUUACUGGUUAUCUAAGCUGUCUUUAGACCUAUUAAAUUGAAUAAUUUAAUUUAAAUCAAUUGUCAUGUGAUUUAAUUCGAAACUUGUGUUAGGUAAAGAGUUGAAUUGAUAGAUUUUAAGAUGAAAUUGUUUGAUUAGAUUUAAUAAUAUUAUAAAAAAAAUCUUUAUAUUUUUAACGAUAUUUUCAAGUUAAAAAAAAAAAAAAAUCUAACUUGCAGCGGAGAACGGAUGAAUUUACUCGUAUUAAUAUGUUUGGUCAUCGAUUACAUAACAUAUCUUCUUGGUUUCUUCGCCUUAGGAACGUCAACGAACAGACUAGCUCCAUACGGGCCUCUUGAAUGGACCAUGUGUCGUCGGUAUGGGAAGGUUAAUAUACUUAAUACUCGAGGACAGGGGGAGUACGAACCCUUCUUUUCUAUAAAAGGCCAUUUCUUUCCACUUUUGAUAACCAUCCAAUCUUUUUGUGUGAUUAGGAAAACACAGAGAUGGGUUCCUCACCUCCGGCUGAUAAACCUCAUGCUGUGUGCGUCCCUUUUCCAGCUCAGGGUCACAUAAACCCAAUGCUCAAACUAGCAAAACUACUCCACUUCAAAGGCUUUCACGUAACCUUUGUUAAUACAGAGUAUAACCAAAAACGCUUACUCAGGUCUAGAGGCACCAACUACCUUGAUGGCUUCCCAGACUUCCAGUUUGAGACUAUCCCUGACGGUCUUCCAUCGUCAGAUAUUGCUGAUGCCACUCAAGAUAUCCCAUCUAUUUGCAAAUACACCUCUCAAGCUGCUUUAGCCCCUCUAUGUGAUCUUCUUGCCAAACUCAACUCCUCAGGUGUUGUGCCACAGGUGACAUGUAUUGUCGCUGAUGCUUGCAUGAGUUUCAGUCUUGAUGCAGCUGAAGAAUUUGGAAUUCCUGAAGCAGUGUUUUGGACACCUAGCGCCUGUGGUGUUUUGGGCUACUCGCAGUAUCGUCCUCUCAUCGAAAGAGGCUUAAUACCUCUGAAAGGUAAACAACUUUCUUAAGACAUUAAUUGGUGCAUGAAUUUACGAUAAAUUGUUUUUGAUAGUUCUGUAUAAGUUAUAGUUUUUGCAUAAUUAAUUUACCUAUUUCCUAUUACAAUAUGCUGAUGAAAUUAACUUAACUUGCUGUUUGCAGAUGCAAGGGAUCUAACAAAUGGCUACUUAGAAACACCAGUAGACUGGAUUCCUGGAAUGAAAGAUAUUCGUUUGAAGGAUCUUCCAACUUUUAUCAGAACUACAGACGUAAACGACGUCAUGCUGCAAUUCGUGAAAAGAGAAAUAGACAGAACUUCGAGAGCUUCUGCUGUCAUUCUUAACACAUUCGACUCCUUCGAACAAGAUGUUUUGGAUGCUCUCUCCCCAAUGUUUCCUCCAAUUUACACUGUCGGUCCUCUGCAAUUACUUGUUGAUCAGAUUCCAAAUGAUGAUCUGAAAAAUAUUGGCUCCAAUCUUUGGAAAGAACAGCCAGAGUGUAUUGAAUGGCUUGAUUCCAAAGAACCAAAAUCUGUGGUGUACGUAAAUUUUGGAAGCAUCACUGUAAUAACAC